rnacentral:lncRNA from 1 species
UUCGGUCAAUAACUCAAUCUGCAUUAUUCUCCAUCUUUCUAUAUAUAUGUACGUCUUUUUUAAUACACACAAUGUCCACAAACUCUUUUUCUCAAUACGAUCUUUUCAUUCUCCUCUAAGCUAUACUCUAUUUUUCAUUUUCAUUCUGUCUUCUCAAUUCCAACGCUUUUAUUUUCUCGUACAAACUCUUUUAUUUUCCCGUUGACACCAAAUUCUCAUACAAACUCUUUUAUUUUCUCGUACUCCUCAUAACCAAAUUCUCUCAUCUCGUUUAUUUUCUUAUGGCUUCUUCUUCCCAAACUCCCUUUGAUGAAACUUAUGAUCAGAUUUAUGAUCAGUUUUACGAACAAACAUUCCAGAAUCUCUUAAUUGAUUAUGCUGAUCAAGCAGAAGCAACCUCAUCCAAGAAGAAAAGAGCUUUCAUAGAAAGAAACCGAGAAGAAGGCCACACAAGAUUGUGGAAUGAUUACUUCAGCGAAAACGCAAUUUACCCCGAUCACCUUUUCUGGCGACGUUUUAGGAUGAACAAGGCAUUGUUUUUGCGUAUUGUUCAUCGGCUCUUGAUAACACCGUAUUUUGACCACUUUUAUGGAUCGUUUUGAAAUACUUUUUCUAUGUUUUUAAUUGCUUUUAAGUACUUUUAUUACGUUUUUCUAGUAUUUGUAGUUCCAAGACUCUUUUCAGGAAACUUAGGGAAAAGCUUAACAAAAUGGAUAGAAAACCAGAUUUCAGCUCAGAGUCAAACCGUCAGAAGUUCACCCCUGAUUGAAAGCCUUCUCACCGUCUGAUCCAGCUCAAAUUUGGAGACCUUAAAGAUGGAAGUAUCAGCUUUCCAGUGCACUUUACAGCUUGGCAAUCCAACGGUUUAAUCAAACGAUACGCGAAGAGCAAGAUGUCCCGUAAACCAGCCGGCAAGCACUUCCACCCGCGGCCAAACACUCAUUCCCCCCGGUCAGAAGCAUCCCGACCGUGGCCAAACACUUGUUCCCCGCGGUCACACUUGUCCCGACCGCGGCCAUCAACCUCCGAGCCCAAAAAGCCCAUUUCUGAAGCCCACAUUUGGAGAAACCCUAAGUGACGUCCAAAGAGGUCUUGAGCACUAUAAAUACAUGUCUUAGGAACCCUAAACAAAGGGAGAUUGUGUAACCUAAUACCAUCUAUCAUUACUUCAUAUUUUUAUUGUUUUUGCUUUAGCUUUUAGGGAGAGAGAGAUUUGUUCUCUUGAACCCUUGUUCUUUAUUUUUCAAUUUCAGUUUCUAUUAUACUUAUUAAUACUAUGUUUUUGAUUUCGUUCAUUAUGUCUGAGUAGUUUUAUUGUUGGGAUUAAGGGAUUUUCGAUGGGGAUUUAUAUGUUCGAUGAGGAUUCCAUGAGCUUUUGAGCCGAAUCUUUGAACUUUUUCUUCUGAAUUCGUUUUUACUGCAUGAGAGUAGCGUCAUGAACUACAAUCUGAUCCAGAUGCUUGAUGACACGAAAGUGUUCAUCAGGUAUCAGAUCUAGUUUGGGAGAGCAAAACAAACAUAGGAGUGGAAACCUACAUAUGGGUGAUUUGUGAAUUAGGACGAGUCUUAAACAUAAUGCAUCUCUUCUCUUCUAGGGCCAGAGUGGAAACCUACUGGUCAAGGUUGAGAGAGAUAGUUGUCUAUGAUCACGACAGUGGCGUAUUCAUACGUCCGUGACUCCAGUUCGAAAAGUUUAAGCUAAGAUCUUAUCAAAUUUACUCUCUAGCAAUGUUUUGAAUCGUUCGUACCCCUGAGAAAACUUCUCUGAACCCCAACGCCUUCUUUCUCAUUGAUUUACACCGAUUUUUCUUUCAAGCUUUGGUUCAAUAUUGUCUUUCCUUUUUAGUUCAUUUUCAUUUAAGCAAUUAGAUAUCCGUUUUUUACAUUUUUAGUCAUUUUUAUUAAGUUUAGUUAUUACGUCAUUUAAUUCCCGUAUUCUCUUUUAAGAUUUCGUUUUUGCAUUUCAAACACACUACCAAACUCCCACAAAACCGUUUUGGUUCUAGACUUCCUUACUUUAUACUUAUUUCAAAGGCUUUUUGCAGAAAAAGAUCCUCUUUCCCUGUGGAUUCGAUCCCUAAGUACUACAAUCGAUCAUCUGUGCACUUGCGGCUAUUGAUUUCAAUUAGGGUAAAACUUGACAACCCUCGACACACACACGACAGCACACAUCAGCCCUCCAACGAGGUCACUUUCUUUAAACAGAGGCAAGAUGCUCGGGGUAGACUUGGUCUAUUGGCACUUCAGAAGUGUACAGCCGCAAUUCGUCUAUUGGCUUAUGGCACGACACUUGAUACCGUUGACGAAUACCUACGCCUUGGUGCAAGUACAGCCCGUUCAUGUCUGGAAAAUUUUGUUGACGGAAUUAUAAAUCUCUUUGGCGACGAGUACCUCAGAAGACCCACAGCAGACGAUCUUCAACGUCUACUUUAUAUGGGAGAGGAGCGCGGAUUUCCCGGGAUGAUAGGAAGCAUUGACUGUAUGCAUUGGGAGUGGAAGAAUUGUCCAACCGCUUGGAAAGGCCAGUAUACACGAAGUUUUGGGAAACCCACAAUAGUCUUAGAAGCGGUAGCUUCAUACGGUCUCUGGAUUUGGCAUGCCUUUUUCGGACCGCCAGGUACCCUCAAUGAUAUAAAUGUUUUGGAUCGGUCACCCGUUUUUGAUGACAUUAUAAAAGGUCAAGCGCCGAGAGUUAAUUUCUUUGUCAAUGGAACGGAGUACCAUUUGGCGUACUAUCUGAUAGAUGGUAUAUAUCCAAAAUGGGCAGCUUUUGUCCAAUCUAUACCUAAACCACAAGGUCCAAAAGCAUGUUUAUUUGCUGAACGCCAAGAAUCUGCCCGUAAAGAUGUCGAGAGGGCUUUUGGAGUUUUGCAAGCUCGUUUCGCCAUUGUCAAAAAUCCGGCUUUGUUUUGGGACAAAGAAAAAAUCGGAAAGAUUAUGAGAGCUUUUAUCAUACUCCACAAUAUGAUAGUUGAAGACGAACGAGAAGGAUACCGACACUUUAAUGUUCAAGAAUUCCAACAAGGAGAAGGAGGCGGAAGUUCUAAUGUGGAUUACUCGUACUCGACAAACAUGGCAACAAAUAUUAUAAAUAUGAUGGAUACCCGAAGAAAAAUUCGAUCACCAGAUGUGCAUCACAAAUUAAAAGCCGAUUUAGUUGAACAUAUCUGGCAAAAAUUUGGUUAAGCUCAAAAAUAAAACACAAGUUUAAUGUAUAAUAAUUUAUGUUCUAUUUGUUGUAAUGUUUUAGUAUUCAGUUUAAUGUUUUAGUAUUUCUUCUAAUGUUGUAAUGUAAAAUAAAAACUGAAGUUUAAUGCAAAAUUUAUGUUUUUAUGUCAAAUUGAAGUUUAAUAAGAAAUUUAAUGUAAAAUUUAUGUAAAACUGAAGUUUAAUGUAAAAUAAAAACUGAAUUUUUUUUUAAAAGUUUUUUUAAAGACCAUUAAGAUUUCUCCCAUUGAAUCAUACAAAAAUACAAGGUUUCUCUCUUGGGUUUCUACUACUAAAGCUAUCCAUUUUAUUAAUAAAAAAAGGGAUAGAGACUCUAAAUGGUUUUUCCAAUUGUACAUGUUCUUAUAGGUCGUUCAAUUUGUUAACUCAAUUUGUAACACAUAAUUAUUUUUAUUUUGAUGAAUAUUUACAAUUUAGAAAAAGUUCAAUAUUUACAUCAUAAAAGUAUCUAAACACAGAUCGAGUUGCGUAGAGCCGCUUUGAAUUACAAUUCCUCAUAAACUUUCACGAUAAUUGAUACAAUAUAUGAAAAUGAACUUUGAACUUCAAACCCCCUUUAGUUUCUAGGAAAUUUCCUUCGUACAUUUGUGAAAUACAAUCCUCAUCAUUUAUCUCUGCCAAAAAAAAAAAAAAUUCAAAAAGUGAACUUUAAAUUUCAAAUCCUUUCUAUUUCCUUGGAAUUUUCCUUCAUAUACAUCAUCAUAUAUUCAUUCAACUCACCCGAAAUUCUAGGUAGAGUAAGAAAAAAUUGGCCCAUCUGAAAUCAAUAUACAAUCAAUAAUGGAAGACUUAAAGUAGACCAAAGACUUUUCGUUUUUUUUUCCUCAAGUCUUUGAAUCAAACAAUAGAUACUACAUAUAUAUAAAUACUCUCUGCUGAUCCCUUGCUUCAUUAUCUCAUAAACCAGCAAGAACACUAAAUAAAGAAAAUGGUGCUAAAGCUUGUCAUAAUGGUGAUAGUGUUUGCACAAAUCUUAGCUCCAAUCGUUGAAGCUGCUCAAGGAAGAGCUGUCUAUUACAACCCUCCCUAUACUAGUGCGUAUAUAUACAAUUAUAUAUAUACAUAUGUAUCUAUGUUUAAUAUGUUAUAUAAGUCAUUGCUUACAAAGAAAUAAUGUAAUCCAGGGUCUGCUUGUUCUGGAAGACAAUAUGAAACGAUGGUGGUUGGACUCAAGAGCAAUCUGUAUCAAGGAGGUCGAGCUUGUGGUCGGAGGUACAGGGUUCGAUGCAUUGGUGCUACUUACAACUUUCCCGGAGCGUGUACCGGACGUACCGUAGUCGUCAAGGUAGUUGAUUUCUGCCGGGAGCCUUGCAAUGGCGACCUUAAUCUCUCUCGUGACGCUUUUCAGGUCAUCGCUAAUACCAAUGCCGGUAACAUCCGCGUCGAAUACACUCCGUAAGUUACAUUCUUAUAUCUAUUCAUCUUCGUAUCUAGGAGUCUUUGUCCUAAAAUAUAAUAGUGAAUUUCAUUAAAAUAUAUAGAUCGACUGAUUUUCCAAACAAUAUAUAAAAUCACUAGGCAAGAUCUGAAUUUUUUUUUACAUCCUAAUGAAAAUUUGAUAUUCUUAAUUGAAAAUAUAUAGGCUAUUUUCUGAUCUGCUGCAGGAUAUGAAGUUUUUAUUUUUUUUUGCUUGAACUUUGCAGGAUAUGAAGUUGAUUGAUUUCGUGAAGAGAUGAUUUCGUGGUACUAUUCCAAUAAAUCGAAUGGAACUAAUAAGCUUGCUAAACUAUAUGUAUGGAUGGUCCUUUGUGCUGAAAAAAAUUGUACUUCAAAUAAGAAUUCCAAUGUUUCCUAAUUAAACUUUUACGUUUAUAAGAUUUCUCAUAUUAAGGAUUUAUAAAAUAUUAAGUGAAUGUUAAGAACUAAUAAGCUUGCUAAACUAUAUGUAAGGAUUUAUAAAAUAUAAAAUAUUAAGUGAAGUGAACACUGAAAGACCAAGAAGUAGGACACUUUACGGAGUCAAACCAACCAUGCUCGACACAAUCUAAAGUAGAUUUUUAAAAGUAAACCUCUGGUUUUCGACUUUGACUACAGUGUACACAUUGGUGUUUAAUUGAGUUUUCUCACAGUGCCCCCAUAUGCAUAGAAAAAGCCUGACAUUUAUUUUAUCGGUUUCAUUUUAAAUGUUCAUAUAUAAAUUCUAAACAUCAAACAAAAAUUUAAAUGUUUAGUAUAUUUUUUUAUCAAUUUGAUUUCAUUUUCAAAUAUAAAUCUACAAUCUUAUUGAUCUCUCUAAUAAUUUGAUUUAAGUUAAUGAAGAUAAAAUAAUAUUUUUUUUGAAUUCUGCAUAAAGGAAACCAUAAAAUGACACUGGUUUUGAACAAGACAGAGCUUUUUUUAUAUAAAAAAAUAAGAUAGUGUAUGUGGCUAGAUGUUGGGAUCUUAGCUUUUUAAGGUUCUUUUUUUUCGAAUUUUAGUAAAAGGCAAAAUAAUUUUGAUAGAUGGUUAACCAAUUACAGAUAAUUACCUUACCAAAUUCAGAUGAAUAAUUAAUAAAUAUAUAAAAACUGAAUCAGAAGUUCAAACCGUGUAUGACUAAAAAAAAAUCUUAAACCUAUAUCUAUGUCGAAGUUCAUAGGUUAAAAUUAAACAAAUGUGUAUCCAUUUUUUUUUUUGGUUUAAGUAUGAGUGGGCUUGUUAAAAAAAUGAAUGAAUGGGCUUUCUUGCCAUCCUCUCCUAGAAUCAAGCUAACAAAAAUCUCUUUUUUUUGUUAGAAAACAAAAAUUUAUUUUUAAACUUUUCAGUUAACUAAUUUAUAGUAAUGGUCCUUCAGUUCAUGAGUUUGAAUUUGAAGUUUGAACUAAUGUCUGAAGUUGACCUACCAACAUAAAUUUUACGAUGCCUACCAAAUUCCAUCUUGGCUGAUUCGCCUCUAUAUAUUUUUUAAUAUGUGAAGUUAAUGAUGGACUAGUAUUAAUUACUAGUAGAAAGUACUCUAUAGGUUACCAAUAAAUGAUGGAACCCGAGCAAGUAAAAUACUUAUAGUACUCCGUCUUAAUUAAAAGUAUACUAAUACGAAGUUUGAAAUUUACUCAUUUGAUCAGAAAAUCUUUAAAAUCCCACUUAGUAUGUUCUAUCAUAUUGUUAGAAUGAUCGAUAAUUUCUACUUUUUAGCUUAAAAAAUGAGAUAAUUUCUACUUGCAUAAUUAUGGAAAAAAGAUUAUUUGAAGAGAAAAAGAAACUCUAUUCUUUUUGACAAAUUGUUGGAUUUUGGUUCUACUUACGUUCAGCAAUUAUCCUCGGUUUGAAAUUGUGUACCAUGGUAAAUUAACACGCAAAACUAGAAAACAAAAUGAUUAAAAUAAAAUAUUGGAAGGAUGUACGUAUCUUUAAGCCUUUUAUGUAUAUUGUUCUACUAAUUAAGCAUAUACUAAUAGAUUAAAAAUGCACAAGACCAAAUUUUCCUCGAGUCAUAACCGAACCUUCUUGCAUGUCGACUUCCUGUUUCCUCUCUCUCUCUCUCUCGUGUCCCUUAGAAUGUUUGUUAACUGCCUAAAAUUAUGAAACGUAAUUCAUUUAAUUUCGUUCUAUAGAUAACAAUAGCUCUUUUCAAGAGAAACAAAAAAGUCUAUUAGUUUCUUGGAUGAAGGUUUUUGUUUGUCUUAUAUAUAUUUAUAAAUUUUAAUUUGAUUAUCUUAUUACAUAUGACUAGCGAAUAUAUCUCAUUGCAGUAUUUGGAAACAAGACAAUAGCUUUUCCACGGACAAAUCUACAACAUACAUCUUUAUUUAUAUACCACAAGGAAAGGAUCCAUCAUAGAUAGUUCUACUUAUUUAUACAUGUACCACACUAACGAUAGACAUAUAUAUUUUUAACAUGCACGACCAUGAAGAACUGUCCUAUUUGUACCACGCUCAAAAUCUCAAGUAAGAUUUUCUUUAAUAAUCUGCAUAACUUCAAAUUUUAUAAGAAUCCCCAUACUUGAUGUAGAAGUACAUUAACAAACUUGCAUGUGAUUUUUAUUUUUCUUUUUUUAAAUCUUCCAAUCAAACAAAGAUAUGUCAAAUAAAUGCGUGGUCCGAAUCAAAUCUUUUUUUGCUUUCCUCGACAUUGCUUUUCCAUUUUCUAGGCUCCACCUAAGUUUGCAGAGAUAACACUUACAAAGACCAGAGCCGCCGUGCGUGUUAUCCCUUAACACCUGAGGCCUUUUGAAUCUUGAAGUGUUGAGUAACCCUCGAUAUUUUACACUCUAAAAUCUCACGUUUUACCAGAUUUGACAACGGAUCUCCCGCAAAAAUUGAAGUCAGAACUAUCACUCAUUCCGUAGUAUGGAUCUUUGACUCUUUCUGCAGUCGCUUGGUCUUAUGUGAUUAUGUCUAAUUUGAUAGAAUCUUGAAGACAUCAUCCCCGUCGUCCCAUACGUGCUUUUACCAGUUAUUCAUGCCUCAUGAAUAGUUUCAACCAGUUUUUUUUUGGUUAAAAGUUUCAACCAGUUUAAAGUAUAUAGAGGCGAUUGCUUAAUUAAUGACGACACAACGUCAUAGUUUUUCACUUAAUGUCACGAUGAGUAUUGACUACUAUAAAAGAGGUAAUGGUUUGGUGGAAAGAUAUCAAAAAUAUCCAGCACAGAAUUUUAAGGCAAUGUUAUUUUGAAUUCAAACUAGGAAAUUUAAUAUAAUACAAGUUAAAAUGUCAGAAAAAUGUUUUUUUUUUUUUUCUUUCAUAUGGAUUGUAAAGUUUUUGUAUUGUUUGUCACUUUGUCCGGUUGGAUUUAACAUGGAUGGCUGGAGUUUUUGGUUAUAAAAUCAUAAGAUAUUAUUAUUCAUGAUGCAUGAAGGAAAAUGAUUUUAUCAGUCUCUUUAUUUAAAGAAAUGUUUCGUUGACUUUCCAUUUCUCUACGUAAUUUAAUAAUAUGAUCCAAAUCCCAUUAAUUUCUGGAAUUUUUAAAAAUGUUUAAAGACACUCUUCUUGCCUCCUUGGUGUAAGAAAAAAUAAAUAUAAAAUGAACGAAAAAAAAAUUUCAUCUGUCACCAUCAAUGGUCCAACCUGUAAUUCUCUUAAUCAUCACUCUGUCUCAUAAAUUUCAAAAAAAACUCUGAGCUCAAACUUUCUUUCUCUUCUUUCAAUUUUCAAGAGAAACCAAAAUCUCUGUUUUUUGUGUUUUUUUUUUCUCCCCCGAGAAAAUUUUCUGGUCGCUUGCAAUAUCUGAAACCCACCAGAAAAGCUUAAGUUUUGAUAAGUUCUUCCACCUUCUUUCAACCUAUCUCUAUCCCACCCAUGAAAUUUUCUCGGGAAAACAUGAACUUGAUUUUCCCGGAAAUCAAAUCAACCCAGAAUUUCAUCUCCCCUUCACCACCACCACCACUCCGAUCAAACUCAAGCUUCGAUUUUAGCAGCAAAAUCAGCCCAAACAUCCUCAUGAUAAUCAUAAUCCUCUCGAUCAUCUUCUUCAUCUCCGGUCUCAUCCACAUCCUCGUCAAAUUCCUCCUCACACCAUCGUCUCAAAACAGAGAUGAUUACUUCGACAACAACGUCACAGCUUUUCAAGGCCAGCUUCAACAGCUUUUCCACCUCCACGAUUCCGGCGUCGACCAAUCAUUAAUCGACACGUUACCCGUUUUCCACUACAGAUCCAUCGUCGGCUUCAAAAUCUCACCUUUCGAUUGUCCCAUUUGUCUCUGCGAGUUCGAAACAGAGGACAAGCUUAGACUCUUGCCUAAAUGCAGCCACGCCUUUCACGUUAAUUGUAUCGACACCUGGCUCCUCUCUCACUCGACUUGUCCCCUUUGUAGAUCCAAUCUCCUCCUCUCUGAUUUCUCAUCUCACCACAGUCUAAGCUCCUCGUAUCUCCUUGUUCGUGAAUCAGCGAGUGAGCAAAGCUCGAGAGAUAUGAUAGUUCAUAUUCCUGAAGCUAAUGAUCUCGGGUCGACCCGUUUUGGGUCGGGUCGUAAAUUAUGUGACCCGGAUGGUGAAUUGGAUGGUUUAGAUGAAAAGUUUGUUCCUUUACAAGUUAAGCUAGGGAAGUUUAGGAACAUUGAUCAUGUUGGUGAAGGAAGUGAGAACAAGAAUUGCAUUGUUGGUAAUAGUAGCAAUGUAGAUGAAAGGAGGUGCUUCUCAAUGGGAUCAUAUGAGUAUAUUAUGGACCAAGAAGCUACACUUAAGGUUCACGUUUCGACCAAGAAACUAUCCGACAAAGACCGUCGCUUUCCCGGGCAUAGGGUAGUUAUGUCCGAAUGCGGUUUUGAUCCAACGGUUAAGGAAAUUGGGAAGAGUGUUGUGGAAACAGAGAGCUUUUCUUUGUCGAAAAUUUGGCUUAGGGGUAAAAAGGAGAAGCAAAAGGGUACUACUAGUGCUAGAGAUCAUGACUGUUCUUCUGCGUCUUCCUCUUCAAUCCGAUUUCCGAAGAAUGGGAUCUGUACCGAUGAAGAGAAUCAAAAGAGCGAAAAUUCGGAAUCUUUGGAUACGAAAACGCCAUCUUUUGCUAGGAGGACCAUGAUUUGGCUUGCAGGGAGACAAAACAUGGUUGUUCAUCCUUCUUCUACAUCACGCGUCUAGUUUUUAAUUUGUUUCUCUUGUUAACUUUUUAUUCUUUCUUGACAACUGUGUUUGAAGAUUUUAGAGUAUUAUUAAGUGUUGACAUUAGAGAGAAAGUAGAUGAAAAGUGGGAGCUAAUCUCUAGGGUUCUUAACUUAUUAGUCACAUUGAAAAUUUGGUGGGUCUGCAAACAGUGGACGCAUUGUUGUAAUUCUUGAUGUAUGACCAACAAUUAUUAGUCAACCUUGUUUCUUAAAAGAUGACCCUUUCUACGUAAAUAAGUAAUUGGAGACAGGAAUGUGAAAAAAGCUACAUAUCUAUUAUGGAGUAUAAAGACUAAGCGCUCAUACUUUUCACAUCUCAGCUUCCACAUCAGCAAAAACAAGCUAAUUAAGCAUUAAGCAAGCCACAUUUCUUAAGCUACAAAUUUAAGUCAUGACAAAACGUUCCAUAUUCUAAUCUUUGAUUUUGACUGUAUAAUACAUAAUUAUUAAAGUUUUGACAGUCAUGGCUCAGUGAUGUCUAUAUAUUAAUCAAACAUCGCAUGUUCAUUAUUGCUCAGUGUUUUUUUAUUGUUCUCAUAUUUGAUCAUUGCUUUUUAGCGGAUGGAUUAUAUAUACACGAGACAAAAUAUCUCAUUAUAAGUCUUUUUGUAUUCUUACUAACAAUGCUUAUAUAGCUAACAAUUUCAAAGAGGUAUGUAACCAAAAACUAGCUAUAGCUUUGUAAAUUGGUUGUAUAUGAUAAUGUGUCUUAGUAUUCUUCCAUGCAAAUGUUUGGAGCUAAUUUUCAAUAACUAUGAAAAGUUGCACAAGUUGCAGAGAUGGACAAGUUGGUACUUCCGUACUUGGUAAUAUGAUUCGAAAUGAAAAAAAAAAAAAACUGUGUUUUGCGAGGUUAGACUGCAACAAUGUUCCUGGUGAUAAUGCAUUGGGGGGUCUGAGAAUGAAGUGGUUCACACAUCUGAAACCGUAGCUGAUGUUGUGAGCUGUCAACCUCCUGACAUGGUGAUGGAGCUGGCUGGGGUUAAGUAAAAAUGAAAAAUGUUGUGUUUUUUUGUGUGAUGAUAGGACUUAAAAAAGAAGUGAAUUUUCUGAUCAAAGAGGAAAACAGAAUAUGUAGAGAGGAGAAGCUGAUUUUGGAACAGUAAUUCAAGAUGGUCGCCUUCUUCACAUCAUAGCUAUAUAUAAAAAAAAGUAAUUCUGAUGAGAGAAGGAGCAACGGUUGAAGAUUAUAAGUACUUUACCAAAAGGGUUCGAUAGGGUUUAAAGAGAGUGGAAAGAUGUUAAAGGUUCACGAGAAAGAACUUAAGAGAAUCCUUUGGCCAGAAUUGCUUAUAAUGGAUAUAUAUUCAUGCUAGAUACCUCUUUAUCAAUAAUCCUAAAUGACCAACCAAUAUGAGAAAAUCAAAGUAAAUAAACAAGAUGAAAAUAAAACCAAAAAUCAGUUCAAUUAGAAUAGGUUAAUUUUCUACAUCUUAUAAUAAUAUAUUAAUAUGGUUCAAUUACACUAUGUUAAAAUAUGUAUUAUAUAUAUAUAUAUAUAGAAAAUCACAUAUAUUAAAAAAAACCCGCGUGUCAACGUGGGUAUUCAGCUAGUUUUGAUAAUUACUUAAGCUAAAGUAGGUUCUUUUUUUAGUUUAUCACUAACGAGAAAUCGUUGAAACUGAUAUAUAUAUAUAUAUGUAUAUAAUAUGUUAAAGAUAAAUAACCAUAUUAGCAUGAUUCUAAAUUGUUUAUACUUCAAAUUUCUUGAUAUUUGAAAAUAUAUUAAGUAAUAUCUAAGCGAACAUAAAUAAAAUAUAAACAUAAAUAAAAUAUAAGGAAAACAAAAAUAAAAUUAAGAAAAAUAUAAGCAAAAUUUUUAAAAAUAAGAAGAAAAACAUAAUUAAAAUUUUGCUUAUAUUUUGCUUAUUAUUUUACACAAACCAAUUUUUUUACACAAACCUAAGAUUUUUUGUAGUGGUUUAAUUCUAGUAAGAACUUCUGACAUUCGCAACCGAGUGAUACACAACACCAAGAAAUUGAGUACAGCUAAACACUUCGCCAACGCCAAUUUGUUGUGUUUAAAAUCCGACGAUAGUCUGAAAAAAUCAAGAACAAGUAAUCUAAUAUGGCAGAAGAAGAUUUAGCGUAGACCCCGACUUGGGCAGUGACUGCUUCUCCAUAGCUAGAAUUACUAUAACCGGCAGUGCAGCUUUUCAAUAGUAUAAUGCAUUGAAGCAGGGCAGAUCUAGAUAAUUUAAUCAAUGGGGGGUAAUAGCCAAUUUCAAUUUAAUCAGUGAAAAUGAGAUUUUUUGGGCUUUACCUAGAAAAAAAUUGUGUAGGGGCAAUAUUUUAAUUUUUAAUGGUGGCAUAAUUUAUUUUUGCUAAACGAGUAUUAAUAAAAAAAAAAUUGAGUGGUGGCAUGAUUCAUUGCAGCGCAUCUUAUUUGUAGAGAGUGUUAACAAAUUACCUGACUCCAAUAACAGCAUGAAAUCCUCCUCCAACGAUCUCAUUACGUAUUUUUGGAAGUUAAAUUGUCUUCCUAGACCAAGAGAAAGUAGGUUCUUUUUUUUAGUUUAUCACUAACGAGAAAUCGUUGAAAUUGAUAUAUAUAUAUAUAUAUAUAUAUAAAUAGUAUGUUAAAGAUAAAUAACCAUAUUAGCAUGAUUCUAAAUUGUUUAUACUUAAUCUUUCUUGAUAUUUGAAAAAUAUUAAGUAAUAUCUAAGCAAACGUAAAUAAAAUAUAAGGAAAACAUAAGCAAAAUAUAAGCAAAUUUUUUUUUUUAAAUAGAAGAAAAACAUAAUUAAAAUUUUGCUUAUAUUUUGCUUAUUAUUUUACACAAACCAAUUUUUUUACACAAACCUAAGGUUUUUUGUAGUGGUUUCUAAUUCUAGUAAGAACUUCCGACAUUCGCAACCGAGUGAUACACAACACCAAGAAAUUGAGUACAGCUAAACACUACGCCAACGCCACUUAUUUAUUGUGUUUAAAAUCCGACGAUAGUCUGAGAAAUCCAAGAACAAGUAAUCUAAUAUGGCAGAAGAAGAUUUAGCACAGACCCCGACUUGGGCAGUGACUACUUCUCCAUAGCUAGAAUUACUAUAACCGGCAGUGCUGCUUUUCCAUAGUACAAUGCAUUGAAGCAGGGGCGGAUCUAGAUAAUUUAAUCAAUGAGGGUAAUAAUCAAUUUCAAUUUAAUCAGUGAAAAAUGAGAUUUUUUGGGCUUAACCUGAAAAAAAAAAUUGUGUAAGGACUAUUUUAAUUUUUAAUGGUGGCAUGAUUUAUUUUUGUUAAACAAGUAUUAAUAAAAAAAAAUUGAGUGGUGGCAUGAUUCAUUGCAGCGCAUUAAAUCAUUCUUGUUUGUAGAGAAUGUUAACAAAUUACCUGACUCCAACAACCAGCAUGAAAUCCUCCUCCAACGAUCUCAUUAUGUAUUUUUGGAAGUUAAAUUGUCUUCCUAGACCAAGAUGAACCUUCAUAAAGCACAGCAUAUAGACUCUUAAUUAGCAAAAACGACGCGAUACUAAAUCGACAAAUGUUAUUUGUAAGGUGAAAAACUCAGAGUGAUGAAUCCAUUUCGCAGUAUCAAAUAGUCAAUUUUCCCAACAGAUUUGAAAAACUGUCUGAAGAAACACCUCUGAAAGUGAAAGCAUUGUAUUAACCGAAAGUGAGUAGUCCUUACAAUAGUUAUUUGAAAUUGACUAAGCAUGGAGAGAGUAUAACCAAUAGGGUGAUAGUUCUUACAAUAUAGAAAAAGAAAGUCCAGAAACUAGGGUGCACUCUUAGAAAAGACGUUUCUUGAGUUAGCCUAAAUCUGGAAGUAUGUGUAAGCAAGAACAGAGAACACAUAGAGUCAAUAAUGAGAGCUCAAGAAACCACAAAGACAAAGAAGAUGUGAUCACCUGUUGAAAACUCGUAAUCGUGGGAUGAUGUGUCUUUCUGCUAAUGCUUCCAUAUAGAAAAGACCCAUACAUAUUCUUUAAUAUUACUGAAAAAAUAAGGCUGAUAAUGUCCAAAGAAACGAAUUGGGGUCGAUGACUUUAAAAAUUAAGCACAUGCUUCAGAAAAUAAGGCUGAUAAUGAUAACAAAAAUCUCACCUCUUUGCAUCUUUUGGAAGAUGAUACAUCUCCUGAUAUGAAUCUGUGCUCAAACCACAUGAGCUUCCUGUGACCUUCCCCUUUGUCAUCUUUCUCAUCUUUCCAAUAUGGAUGAGGAGGGCAUGGGUGUUGGAUAAGCUUUGCUUAAGGCCUAAGACUUCUAACAAGUCUGUUAGAAGAAAAAGGAAAGAUUCAAGUAUUUCCAUAUUAGAUUAUGAGUUAUCUAGUUCUAAUAGGAAAAAGAAAAGUAGUUAGCAAAGUUAUGUUAACACUAUAAAUAAAUCUUUGAUGAAGUUGCAUUGAAGACUUGAGAAAGAGUUGUGUUGAUAUUUAGUUUUUGAGCAAGUUUUCUAAUCAUUAAUACAAACGAGAUUUCAUAUAAAGUGUUUAUACGACUAUAUUUAGUAUCAGCGCUUGAGUUAGAAGCGAUCCAAACCCUAGUCGAGUAAACACGAAGAUCAUACAAUACACAAAGAUGGGAGACAUUGUACGUAUGACUCAAACGAAGGAAACAACUCCGAUCUCAAUCCAAUGUCCCAUGUUAACGUCAACAAACUACACGGUAUGGGCCGUGAAGAUGAGGGUUCUACUGCGAAUCAAUAAGGUGUGGGAGACGAUUGAACCAGGUUCAACCGAUGCCAAUAAGAACGAUAUUGCAACAGGUUUAUUGUUUUAAGCUAUUCUGGAGGUUCUUAUCUUGCAAGUCGGCGAGCAGGACUCUCCAAAAGGAAUCUGGGACGCGAUCAAAGUACGACACAUAGGAUUGGAUCGUGUCAAGGAAGCUCGACUCCAAACCCUAAUGUUCGAAUUCGAAAGAAUGAAGAUAAAAGAUUCGGACACCAUAGAUAAAUUUGCGGGAAAGUUAUCGGAGCUAACCUCAAAAGCAGCUUCUCUUGGACAAAAAAUUGAAGAACCAAAAUUAGUAAACAACUUUCUCAAUAGUUUGCCAAGACACAAGUUGAUCCACAUUGUAGCCUCACUUGAGCAGGUCCUGGAUUUGAAAACAACAAGCUUCGAAGAUAUAAUAGGGAGACUCAAAGCCUACAAAGAAAGAAUUCUUGAUUCUGAGAAUCACGAAGAUACACAGGGGAAGCUGCUAUACACAAACUUGGAACAACAAACCAGUUCCAGCUCAAUAGGGAAAGGACAUGGAAGAGGAGGCAGAGGAAACAGAGGACGAAGCAGAGGAGGAAGAUUUAACUCGCAAGAUCAAUUAACAAACCAGAACGAUCAAAAUCAAGAAAAAGAGAAGAAGGAUAGAUCAGAGAUUAUUUGUUAUCGAUGCGAUAAACCUGGACACUUUGCCUCUGUAUAUCCAGAAAAAACACAAAGAACAGAACAAACAAAUAAAGUGGAGACAGAAGAAGCUGAUGCAGCACUUUAUAUGCAUGAAGUUGUGUUCCUAAACAAAGAGAAACUGAUUCCGAAGAACUUUGAGACAAACAAAGACAAAGAUGGAGUCUGGUAUCUCGACAAUGGAGCAAGUAACCACAUGACAGGCAACACGGAUUACUUCUCCGAGCUCAACAAGAAUAUCAAAUGCAAAGUCAAGUUUGGUGAUGGAUCUUGUGUGGAAAUAGGAGGGAAAGGAUCCAUUAUUUUAAAAGGCAAGACCGGUGAACAAAGACUUGUCAAUGAUAUCUACUACAUCCCUGACCUGAAGAGAAACAUCCUGAGUUUAGGACAAGCUACAUCACUGAUAUCUCACCAAUCACAUGGUGUUCGCAAAAGCAGGAAACAGAUACACUUUCAACCUGUGAGGCAGAGUUUAUGGCAGAAACAGACGCGGCUAGACAAGCAAUAUGGCUCCAAGAACUCUUAAGUGAGAUUACAGGAUGGAAGACUGACCAAGGUAUCAUAAAGAUUGAUAACCAAUCUUCUCUCACUAGGAAUCUAGUGUUUCACGGAAGGAGUAAGCACAUUCACAAGCGCUACCACUUCAUCAGAGAAUGCAUUGAGAAUGAUCUAGUUGAUGUGGAGCAUGUACCUGGAGUGGAACAAAGGCUGACAUUAUAAUCAAAGCAUUGACAAGGAUUAAGUUUACUGAGAUGAGGAGCUUGAUCGGUGUUCAAGACAUUUCCAAGACUAAUUCAAAGCUUAAGAGGGAGAAUAUUGGAUAAGCUUUUCUGAAGGCCCAAGACUUCUAACAAGUCGGUUAGAAGGAAAAGGAAAUAUUCAAGUAUUUCCAUAUUAGAUUAAGAGUUAUCUAGUUCUAAUAGGAAAAAAAAAGUAGUUAGCAAAGUUAAAUAGGUCUUUGAUGAAGUUGAAUUAGAGACUUGAGAAAUAUUUGUGUUGAUGUUUAGUUUUUGAGCAAAUUUUCUAAUCAUUAAUACAAAGAGAUUUCAUAUAAAGUGUUUAUGCGACUAUAACGGGAGCAUCGUAUGAGCAGCAGGUGAUGGGACACAAAUCUUCAAACUGCAUUUUUCACCGAAAGUCAGGAGCAAGGAGAUGAAUCCAAGAAUCAUCAGUUCUGCAACAUAGAGGAAACAAUAUAUAUUGAGAACUUAAAAUGGAAAAUUUCAAUGUCUCUUAACUUGAAACAAGAUUCAGAUUCAAUUCGAUCACCUGAUUUAAAAUUUCGUAAAAGCAUAAAAAAGGCUCUCUUGUGGCGGUCCCAUAUAACCUAAAUCAAGAACAAGUUGACUUCAAGUCAAAUACUAAAUUUUAUUAUGAAUUUAAACCCAAAAUCUAAAAGAUAAAGAUAGUUUCAUUUCUCGAAUCAAAGAGAACUUAAUCCCAAAAUAAAGUGCUCAAAUUUCAACAUUAAGCCAAAAGAACAGAUUUAUCAUACAUAUGCGCUAUAGUCACAGGUCUUAAAGGACAGUGGGGACCAUUGUAUGGCCACCCCAAGCUUCUCCACAUUUUUCUUGGGCCUUUUAUUCCACGACUCAGGCCUUAACAUAUUUUGGCCUUAUGGCCUUAAGAUGUAUUGGCCUUAUAAUGAUAAUCCCUAAGCUACUAUGCAAGAGCACAGAUGUGCAAUUGUAGUAUGUAGGGGUCGAACCACAGAGACGAGAGAUUCGCUCAAUAAACCUAUUAGAAAUUGAAUUACUCUAAGCAGAUUAAUAAGAAGCAAAUAGCGAUGCAAAUAAAGAAAAACGAAUGCAGUAAAAACAUUUGUAAAGUUCAGAUGGGUGGAGAUUAGGUCUAGGGCGUUUCUCAGGAAAUCAAUGAAUGCAGAACAAUCGAUUAAUCAGGGUUCAGGUUUAAGCACGGUUCUUGAACUCGAAUCACAAAAUUAUAAUUAACCAACUUCCGUUGUGAGAAUUAUCUAAGUUAAAAUCCUAGAAAUUCAAAUUCCUUUGCAAACCCUAAAUUUUUAAACCAGCUUUAAUGCACAAGUUCGAUAUGUUCACAAAGCAUCUAAACCAAAUUCCUUUGCGAAUACCUACUUUGCUCACCCUAGGUUCUUUCCAGUUAUUCAAUUACACUUCCGUGUCAAUCAAUUAACCUAAGAUCUAAGUUCUAGGUGGCCAGUCCUGAAUUAGCUUUAAGAACAACCUAUGGUGAAGAACUAAUCAGAUUAUAAACCCUAAUCAACCAAUCAAUCUAACAUCUAAAGAAAUCCUUUAUGAGAACCCUAAACCUAACAAGCAAACUACUCAGACAUGGAGAUUAAAUCAAUAAACAUGAAUGGAUAGAUUGCAGAAAGCAGUAAAUAGAUUAAUAAACAGUGGUUCGAAAUCUUCUCUCUCUGGAACAGAAUUUCAGACUUGUCUCCCCAAAGCUCUCAAAAACAAGAUUUCUCUCUCAGAAAAUCUAAGGUAUCGAUAUAAGGUGGCUAAAAACCCUAUUUAUAACUUAAAACACAUUUUGGGCUUCCUUGUAAUUAUUGGAGACUUUUGGGCCCAACUCCUUCUUCAAACAGGAAACAAAUCACGUUUUCCUUAUUUAUUUGACAAGUGUCGAGCAUCACUCUCUAUGGUGUCGAGCGACACUAAAGCACAAAAUCCAUCCUUGACGAAUUUGAUCCUGAUUCAGCUCCAAAGUGCUCCAAAGUCUCCAGUUAAGCUCUAAACGUACCUAUGACCUGAAAAGACUCCAAAAGACUCGAAAAACACUAGAAAGACUCUAUAAAUAAGACAUAUACCAUGGUUAAAAACCAUAAAAACCAUGAUAUAUCAAAUGAUCAAUAAUCAUUAGGAAAAAAAUCGCAUAACAAUUUAGGCCUUUAGUAGCUCUUUUAACCGAUACUAAGUUGGAAGUGAAUUUAGGUACAAAAAAUGCUUCAUUAUUCUUGUUAAACAAAUUCAAUUUACCAGUUCCUUCUAUAGGAAUUCCAUCACCAUUAGCUAUUACCACUUUAACUAAAGCAGGUUUUAUGUUGUUUGAGAGCUUAGGAUUACUAAUCAUGUGAUGAGAAGCUCCUGAAUCUACAACUAGAGUGCUACUAGGUUUAUGGGAAAAGAAGGUGAUAUCGGAUUGUUUAGAAGCAAAAGUCUUGAUAAGUGCCUCUAGAUCGCUUUUCUUCACAAACUCCACAGAUGCAUUCAUAGCCACCUCUCCUCCUGAAGUAGAUCCGCUUGCGGUUUCUUGAGAAAGAUUGGCCCGAGAGCCCUUGAAAUUUUUGGGCUUAAGGUGAGGAUAGAGGAUUCAGCAUUUCUCCUUGGAGUGACCUUUCUUCUUGCAGUGGUCACACACCCAAGACUUUUUUUCCUCUGGUUUGGACACUCCUUUGUUGGCUGAGAUGAACUCUCUAUUCUUGAAGAGACCGAUGGAACUCUGCUUCUUUUGGAUCCUGGCACAUACAUCUUCGAGACUUGGGAGCUCAUCCUCUCUCAAAAUGUGUUUGAUGAGAUCGUUGAAGGUGGGAUUCAAGGUGAGGAGAAGCCCAAACACCUUGUCUUGCUCGUGUCUUUCAUUAAGGAUCUUGGGAUCCAAGGUGCUCGGCCUCAACAUUUCUAGUUCGACCCACAAAGAUUUAAACUUUCCAAUGUGUUUGGUGAACUCCAUGUCUUCCUGACUUAGAUUGUUGAUAGCUUUUUGACGUCAAAGACUCUGCUCAGGUUUGUAUCGUUUCCAAACACAUUCUUGAGAGUUUCCCAAAGAGACUUAGCUGUCUCACAGUUGGAGUAAACUUCAAGAAUCGACGGCUCAAGGGAGUUUUGAAUGAGACCAAGAACAGUCUGGUCUUCUUGAAACCACUUAGCUUCUUUGGCCUUGGCUUCUUCACUCUUUGUAUCGCCUUUGGUGUCUUCUUCUUCUGGUGUUUUUCCUCCAAGACAUCACUCCAGAGACCUCGACCACACAAGGCUGUUUUUGUGGUUCUUGUCCACAACAGAUAGUUUCCUCCUUUGAGGAUAACAGGAAUGACAAUUGGCUUGGAAUUUUCAGUAGAUAGAGUGCAAGAACUCAUUUUUGAUGUUCAAGAAAUGGAGAUAGUAUGAAGAUUAAAAUGAAGAUUAAGAACAGAGAGUAAACAAGAACCAAUUAUGAGAAGAUGAAGAAGUGUUUAGAGAAUUUUAGAGAAUAAAGAGAAUGAAGAUUAGUGACUAAACGCUCAGGACAUGAGCUCUGAUAGUAUUUUAAAUUUUAUUAAUGCGAAAUUAAGAGAUUAAUUAGGAGAGAAAUAGAGAAAUUAAGAGAAAUAGUUUGAAUAAGUCUCAAAUAUGUGUGUAUUAUUCAUUCUUGGUGGAAUACAUUUUUAGAGAGACAAAGGAGACUCUAGGUCUAGGUUACAAGAGAAUAAGACAAAUUAAGUAGUUAGACACAAAGAAUCACGUGUAGAGGUAAGAAGAUGCUCUCUGAUCCCUACGAUGAUAGCAACGGCUCCCAACAUCAUAUUGACCAUGCAUGAGCCACGUCUUGGAGAGGAGGGGACCAUUGUACGGACUGCUCCUCAUUUCACCGAGUCUCAGACAUCUCUCUUGGGCCUCUAAACAUUAUCUUUAGCCUUAAUUCUUAUUCUGGCCAUAUGUAAACACAUCUUGGCAUAUACUUGAUCAAUAGUAGACUUUUAAAUGUGGAAGGAGAGGCAUCAUUGAUAUGUUUUCUUAUUCUUUUAGAUACACGUGAACUCUCCUAUGAAAAUCAGAAAACUGAAACUCUGAUUAGGAAAAAUCAUAUUCUGAACCAAAGUGGCACUAUAUUGACAAGAGAGAGUUCUGAUCUUACAAAUAGGAAUUAGAGAUUCUUAAAUGUGGAAGGAGAUGCAUAAAUUAUAUGUAUUUUUAUUCCUUUGGAUUCACCUAAACUCUCCUAUGAAAAUCAGAAAACUGAAACUCUGUUUAGGAAAAGUCAUAUUCUCAUCCAAAAUGGCACUAUAUUGACAAGUGGGAGCUCUGAUCUUACAAAUAUAAAGUAGACACUCAUAUAUGUGGAAGAGAUGCAUCAUUUACAUGUAUUCUUAUUCAUUUGGAUUCGCCUAAACUUUCUUAUGAAAAUCAGAAAACGGAGACUCUGUUUAGGAAAAAUCAUAUUCUGAUCCAAAAAGGCAUUAUAGUGACAUAGGAGUUCUGAGCUUACAAAUAUAAAGUAAAAACUCUUAAAUGUGGAAGGAAAUGCAUCAUUUAGAUGUAAUUUAUUCAUUUGGAUACACCUAAAAUUUCCUAUGAAAAUAAGAAAACUGGGAUUCUAUUUAAAAAAAAUCAUAUUUGAUCCAAAAUAGCAUAGUAUUGACAAAAGGGAGUUCUAAACUUAGAAAUAGGAAUUAAAGACUCCUAAAUGUGGAAGGAAAUGCAUCAUUUAUAUGUAAUUUGAUUCCUUUGGAUACACCUAAACUUUUCUAUGAAAAUUAGAAAACCGAAACUCUAUUUAAGAAAAGUCAUAUUUGAUCCAUAAUGGCACUAUAUUGACAAAAUGAAAUUCUAAGCUUAGAAAUAAGAAUUAAAAACUCCUAAAUGUGAAAGGAGAUGCAUUAUUGACAUGUUAUACCAAAAAAAUAAUCUUCUAUCACUUCCAUAUCUUGAUCAAAACCACAAGUGUUGGAGACGACUUGAUAACAUGGACAACAGAGAAAUGAAUGAGCAGCUGAAGUGGCCACUCACGUGUUGAUUAUGCACGUAAAUGAGAUUUGAGAGAUAAAGUUGGUGAAGUUCCUCUCGAAGGAAAAAAAACCAAUUUAUGUAGACAAACUCUCUGUUCAUUAUAUGUUGUGACCAAACUUGGAACCAUGGAUACACAUAAGAAAUGACAAAGUUUGUUGCAAAGGGAAUAUUUGUUUUACCUUACUUAACAAUUUGACAAAAGAGUAUAAAACUUCAAUCUAAUCUUAUAUAUAAAAGUUGCUCAACUUUCUCCAUAUGAUUGACACAUCAGCAUUAGAUAGAUUGACAUCUGUCUUUAUAUUUUCAUUAAUAAAUUUUAAUAUUAAAAUUUAAAACACUUAAAGAAUAUGAAAAGUUUGUUUUAUUAAUUGACUCUUAAUUAAAAUUUAUAUUAAUGUUAAACAAAAAUUUAUGUUAUAACUAAUUAAAAUAUUGAUAGAUAUGUAUUUAAUUUUUAUAUAAUUGUAGAUUACUUAAUAAUAUUUAGAUUACUUAAUAAUAUUCAAGAUGUAUUUUAAAUUAAUUUUUUAAAAUUAUUUAUAAUAAAAUACUGACAAGUAACAAAUGAAAUGAUGAUUAUAUUAAUUUUAUUUUUUAAGUAAUUGACUAUUAAUUAAUAUUUCUGUAAAUGUUAAACAAAAUUUAUGUUAUAACUAAUUAAAAAUAUUGAAUGAUAUUUAUUAAUCUUAAUAUAACUUUAAAUUAUUAAAUAAUAUUCAAUAUGUAUUAAUAUUUUAUAAUUUUUUAAAAUAAAAUAUUAACAAGUAAGUAAGUAACAAGUGAUGAUUAUAUUAAUUUUUAUAAAAAUAUAAAAAAAAAUUAAAAAUUUUGAAAAGAAAAACCCGCACGUUACGUGCGGGUAUUCACCUAGUCUAAUACAAAAAGAGAAUAGAGUUCUCUAGCGUAAACACAUCAGAUCAUUUUUAUUGGUUAAUUUUUUUCUUUUUUUUUUGAUGUGUCUGAUAACUCUUCUACUCUCUUUAUAUAUUAUAUAUUAAACAACUCAUUAAUGUGAUCAUUUUUCUGAUAACAGAAAUACUAAUUAGCUAAAUCAAAUGCAUUUUUUCAGGAUAUUCUAGUGGCUAGACUAAUUAUGCAUAAUUCUAUCCAUUUGAAAAAUUACAUGAUAUCAAUUAUUUUAAUAAUAAUCACAUAACACUAUACACCAGAACCACAAAAGCAACUAAGACAGAAGCGGAAAGUGCAAUAAAUUGCGAUAAAGUGACACUUUCCUUCGCAGCCCACCUCCAGCAUCUCUCACGGCGUCGGAGCCCAUGCCCUUUUAUCACUAGUUUUCCCCUCCCUAUGGGGAAAUCAAAGAAGCUUAAGAAGAAGCCUCCUGGUGGGGGCUCCCUUUCAUCUGGCGAGUCCUCGCCGUCUUCAGCCUUCGGCGACUCAAAAUCCUCUGGCGGCUCAAAAUCGUCAGAUCUCUCUUUGCCCUCCAACAAGAUUGCCUCAGAAAAUGGUGCAUCUGUUUGCUCAGCCAAAAUCAGUGUGGUCCCAGAUCAAACUAUUGAUGGUUCUCUUUCAGAUCUGAACCUCCCUGAUGCAAAUGUGAUGGCUACAACUCCGGCUGUCUUAGAUCCGUCUCAAAUAGUUACUGACGAGAAGGUCUCCUCAGUCCCAAGCUCCCCUGCGAAAGCUGCAAAAGCAGCCGACCCAGCUUCUGCGAAAACUGUGCAAACAGUGGACUCAACUACUGUUAAAUCUGCUCCGGCAUGUAAAACCCCGACCACUACUAACACGUUGCUCGCGGCUGAUUCGUGGUGCGAACUAUUCAAAGGAACCUCGAAGCAACAUUCUAAGAAAGGUAUGCCUUUUAUCCUCCCGUCGGGUGAAUCUUGCAUCAAGAUCCCCAAUGCCGUUAUUGAGAGGAACCAGAAAUCCUGGCAAUCUUUCAUCAUCGGUCAGUUCUACUCAGAAGCCCCAUCUCAAGGACUUAUUCACAACAUGGUCAAUGGUAUUUGGAGUAAGCGCUUCAGAGACAUCACCAUGUCAAAAAUGGAAGGUUUCACGUUUUUCUUCAAAAUCUCAGACGCUUCUACAAGAGCAAGGGUGCUGAAUCAAAAGCUCUGGCAAAUUGAGGGCCAAACGAUGUUUGUGGCAAAUUGGGAACCCGGUGUGAUCCCAGAAAAGCCAGAACUCACGUCUGUCCCUAUCUGACUUGAAUUAAGAAACUUCCCUCUUUAAUUCUUUGGCGAGGAAGGUUUAGAGCGCAUUGUUGGCCUUGUGGGAGACCCAAAGUUUUUCCAUCUGUAAACCGCAAACAAGACCAACCUAGAGGUCGCAAAAGUUUUCACCAUCAUCGACCCGAGAAAGCCACUGCCAGAAGCAGUGAACGUCCAAUUCGAGAGUGGUUACAUCAGUCGAAUCCUUGUUUCCAGCCCAUGGAUACCACCGAUAUGCUCACACUGCAAAAAGGUUGGCCAUUGUGUGAAGCGCUGCAAACUUGCCCCAAUAACCUGUUCCAUCUGCAAGUCUGUAGCCCACACUACAGAUAAGUGCACAAGGGCUAAAACAAAAGGCAAACAAAAAACAUCUUCUACUUUACCUCUAUCCCCUAAGAAAUUGAAUGGAGUUUUUAUCAAAGAGCCCCAGGACCUCACGAUUAAGGCUCGGACGAUGAUAACACCGUAUUUUGAUCACUUUUGUGGAUCGUUUUUAAAUGCUUUUCAAAUGAUUUUUAUUUCUUUUAAGUGUUUUAAGUAUGGUUUUCUAGUAUUUGUAGUUUCAAGACUCUUUUCAGGUAAUUAAGGCAAAAGGUGUGCAUUUUGAAGCAAAAGACCAUUUUGGAUAAAUUCGGAUCCUCAGAAAUUUCACAUCCGAUGAAGACCUUCCCACCGUCAGAUCAUCCCCAAAAUCAGACAUAAUAUAGAAGAGACAACUAGCUUUCAAAUGCAAUUGUUUUGAAGAUAAUCCAAUGGUUAGAUCUCCAGAUAUCCUUGAUGCACUGAAGACAUGUUCUGCAGUCUCGCGAAGGAAGCAAGCACAGAAUGAAGAUUCAACCUCAAAGACCAAUCCCCGCGGGUCCAGGAGCCACGACCGCGGAGAACACAUUCUCGACCGCGGUUACGAGUCUCUGGCCGCGGCCAAACCCCAAUUCACCGCGGUCAGAAGCCUCGCGACCGGUGCCGACUAAAAGGCUGGCCCAUGACCCUGUUUCAAGCCCAAUUCGUCUUUUCUUCAUUGGAAACCCUAAGGACGACUGAAGAGAGUUCAAGACCUAUAAAUAUGUGUCUAAGGAUACCUAUUUUCGUGUGCCUCAGAAGAAUCCCUUUUGGGAGCCACCAAAUUUAGUUUUUUAGGGUUUUUAUGUUCUUAUAUUCUUAGUUCUUAGUUUAGGGAGAUAGAUAUUUCUCUUGAACCCUCUUUAUGUUCUACCUUUAUCUUAAUUCGGUUUUUACUGUUAUGCAUCUUUCAAUUUCGUUUUUAUCUUCUUCAUAUUAGAUUAGUUGUUUAAAGGAUUUGAAGAGAAGUUUUCUCUGAGCUUAGAUCUCGAAAUCGAGAUGCUUCUUCUUCAUCUCCUUGUCUGUUUUUCUCUACUUCUUUCUUCUUAUUAAUCUAUGCACGUCUCUUACUUUAUGCACGUUUUGGAAUGAUGAGGUAUGAGUUUAAAGGCUCGAUCGAAGGGAAUCAACUAUCUUCGAUAAGGAUCUUCGCGAGAUAAACCAAAGCCGAAUUCUAGAAAUCUUUCUUCUAAACUUAUACUCAAAGCAUGGAUUUAGCGUCGCGAACUAGAGACUGAUCUAGGUCCUUGGUGUUGCGAAAGUAUUAAUCCGGGGCUGGAUCUAGUUUGAGAAGAGCAGAUCAACCAUAGGAGUGGAAACCUACCUAUGGGCGAGCUGUGAAUGUUGACGAGUCUUAAACAUAAUGCAUAUUUUCCCUUCCAGGGCCAGAGUGGAAACCUACUGGUCAGGGUUGCGAGAGAUAGUUUUUUAUGAUCACGACAGUGGCGUAUUCAUACGUCCGUGACUCGAGUUCUAAGAAUUUACUAGGAUCAAUAUUAAGAGCUUUGUUCAUCCUUUAGAUUUAUUAUCGAUUUAUUCACUUCUAGUUUUCAAAUCCCUUUUUAAAAUACAUAUAUAGAAAUCGCACAACCUAUCCAAAACACGUAUUUCGUCUUAGACUUUGUUUCCUAAUUCUGGUUCUAAGGUUCUAAGGUUCUGCAGGUAAAGCGUGGAUUCUCUGUGGAUCGACACCCUAAGUACUACAACGCACUGCUGUGCACUUGCAGAUAUCUAGGGUUAUAAAUUUAAAACAUGAAGCCGCGAAGUCAACCCUAGCAGCAUCAAGUUUUUGGCGCCGUUGCCGGGGAAUCCAAUCGUCUUCACCUACACAAUCUCAGAGGUUAGUAAAUUGACUCUAAGACAUUUUUUUCUUACUAGUUUUUGGUUUUCUUAGUUUCAAGUCUUAAAAAAAAAAAAAAAAAAAAAAAAAAAAAAAAAAAAAAUUGUGUUCCAACCCGCGGUCGUUCCUGCGCGACCCAAAACGAACUUUCCUGUCCCGAAUCAAUGGUAUGACGACUUCAAUCCAUUCUCAUUCACACUUUCAACCAUCUACCACCCUUUACCAUCACCACACCACCAUACCAUGAUCCCGAGACGUCCAGGUAAGUUUUCUCUUUCUUUAUCUUUUCAAUUCAUUACAUACAUCUUUACUCUGAUUUAUUUCACAUCUUAAAGUGUGAUUUAAGUCUGGGGGAGGAUUUCAUCUCUUUCUAACCACCUUUCUUUCAUAAGUCUUUGCAUUCUGCAUUUUUAUUUCAUAAUAACUAAAAAAAAAAAACAUCGGUUUUACAAAGUGUUUUCAAAGCAAAAUACAUUUUGAGGGAAUUAUGACAAAAAUCUAUGAUGAUAACCAACCUGUAUGCUUCUACGCUAUGCAUGAUUGCUCUUUUGUGGUUUAAUACUAGAGUAGGCGGUAGCCAGAGUACUUGCAAUACAAACUCCCACCAGAGGACUUCUAAUCGUGGAGAUUCUUUCUGACAGGAUAUAGUAGCUCAUUUUAUUUGGACUUAAUAUUGAUAUCUAAUUUUCUCAUCAUUGAUUCUAAGCAAGCAUCAUGUUAUACAUCUAGGACAUCUUUUUCCUCAUCUUACCACUCUUUGUUGUCCUAGAUGGCCAGUUCAUAUUUAGCUGGUACCGUACCCUUAACCCAAAAAUUUUAUUUUCGAACCUCAUGCAUCUUCUCUUUAGUUUAUAUCAGCUGAUAUGUGCAAAAACGCCGGAGAGGGAGGAACGACACAGUUUUCAGUCACUCAAGAGAAUGACUGAAUGGAGUUAAGAAGGAAGAGUAUCAGCAAAUCUUUAGCAGCCUCAGAAAGCUCAUUCUUAAUGGUAAUUUUCGUGCAUCUCUAGGACUCUAUCUAAAGGUGUUUCCUUUUCUAAAAAAAAAAUUAAAAAAAAAUGAGAGAAAAGAAGAGAAAGAAAAAUAAUGAAGAGGAAAGGAAACAAAAACCUUAAGAGUCCUAGAUUGUCGAUAUUAUUCAAGACAAAGGCAACAAGUAUUCAUUUAUGGGAGAUAUAAUAAGCUAGACAAAAAUCUAAGUCUGGGGGAAUUAUAAGGAGAACCUGAAGAAGAAAAUCAGAGAUCUUAUGACAAGAAGAACAUGACUGAAAACUGUGGAUAUCAACUGCUUCAUCCUCUCUUGUUGUUUUGCAUAAUAUCAUGCUUCUUCAGAAAUUAAGGUAACCUAAAACACUUUAAACCUCACACCUAAAAAGCCCUUUGAAUAUCUAGCCUUGAUAGUCUUCUUUACUUUUCUUUUGAUGAGAACCACUGAAACUUUUAAUGAAUGAUAAAAGCUAGUUGACUGGAAGUUAGAAUAUAAGUGUGUAGAUUUUUGCAUGACGCAUCAACGGACUAGUUAUGCUUGUAUUUUGGUGAGAAUUUUCUAGGUUAUACCCGACUUAUGCAUUAUGAUUGAUUAUGGUCUAGGAGUAUGGUUCCUGAGAAUUUUGAGUUCCCUAUGAUUUCAGUUAAAGGCUUUUUCUAGGCUUAGAUCUUGCUUUGUUUGAGGACAAACAAAGGUUUAAGUCUGGGAGAAUUGAUAACACCGUAUUUUGACCACUUUUGUGGAUCGUUUUUAAAUGCUUUUCAAAUGCUUUUUAUUUCUUUUAAGUGUUUUAAGUAUGGUUUUCUAGUAUUUGUAGUUCCAAGACUAUUUUCAGGUAAUUAAGGCAAAAGGUGUGCAUUUUAAAGCAAAAGACCAUUUUCGAUAAAUUCGGAUCCUCAGAAUUUUCACAUCCGAUGAAGACCUUCCCACCGUCAGAUCAUCCCCAAAAUCUGAAAUAAUAUAGAAGAGACACCUAGCUUUCAAAUGCAAUUUGUUUGAAGACAAUCCUAUGGUUAGAUCUCCAGAUAUCCUUGAUGCACUGAAGACAUGUUCUGCAGUCUCGCGAAGGAAGCAAGCAAAGAAUGAAGAUUCAACCUCAAAGACCAAUCCCCGCGGGUCCAGGAGCCACGACCGCGGAGAACACAUUCUCGACCGCGGUUACGAGUCUCUGGCCGCGGCCAAACCCCAAUUCACCGCGGUCAGAAGCCUCGCGACCGGUGCCGACUAAAAGGCUGGCCCAUGACCCUGUUUCAAGCCCAAUUCGUCUUUUCUUCAUUGGAAACCCUAAGGACGACUGAAGAGAGUUCAAGACCUAUAAAUAUGUGUCUAAGGAUACCUAUUUUCGUGUGCCUCAGAAGAAUCCCUUUUGGGAGCCACCAAAUUUAGUUUUUUAGGGUUUUUAUGUUCUUAUAUUCUUAGUUCUUAGUUUAGGGAGAUAGAGAUUUCUCUUGAACCCUCUUUAUGUUCUACCUUUAUCUUAAUUCGGUUUUUACUGUUAUGCAUCUUUCAAUUUCGUUUUUAUCUUCUUUAUAUUAGAUUAGUUGUUUAAAGGAUUUGAAGAGAAGUUUUCUCUGAGCUUAGAUCUCGAAAUCGAGAUGCUUCUUCUUCAUCUCCUUGUCUGUUUUUCUCUACUUCUUUCUUCUUAUUAAUCUAUGCACGUCUCUUACUUUAUGCACGUUUUGGAAUGAUGAGGUAUGAGUUUAAAGGCUCGAUCGAAGGGAAUCAACUAUCUUCGAUAAGGAUCUUCGCGAGAUAAACCAAAGCCGAAUUCUAGAAAUCUUUCUUCUAAACUUAUACUCAAAGCAUGGAUUUAGCGUCGCGAACUAGAGACUGAUCUAGGUCCUUGGUGUCGCGAAAGUAUUCAUCCGGGGCUGGAUCUAGUUUGAGAAGAGCAGAUCAACCAUAGGAGUGGAAACCUACCUAUGGGCGAGCUGUGAAUGUUGACGAGUCUUAAACAUAAUGCAUAUUUUCCCUUCCAGGGCCAGAGUGGAAACCUACUGGUCAGGGUUGCGAGAGAUAGUUGUUUAUGAUUACGACAGUGGCGUAUUCAUACGUCCGUGACUCGAGUUCUAAGAAUUUACUAGGAUCAAUAUUAAGAGCUUUGUUCAUCCUUUAGAUUUAUUAUCGAUUUAUUCACUUCUAGUUUUCAAAUCUCUUUUUAAAAUACAUAUAUAGAAAUCGCACAACCUAUCCUAAACACGUAUUUCGUCUUAGACUUCGUUUACUAAUUCUGGUUCUAAGGUUCUGUAGGUAAAGCGUGGAUUCUCUGUAGAUCGACACCCUAAGUACUACAACGCACUGCUGUGCACUUGCAGAUAUCUAGGGUUAUAAAUUGAAAACAUGAAGCCGCGAAGUCAACCCUAGCAAGCAUCAGACGACUCUAUCUAUUUCCACUCGGGAAAAAUUAGUUCUUUCAUAACUUGACCAUGGUACUAAAUCUGCAAAGUCCAACUCGGUUAAGGUUGUUGGUGAAUCAAGCAGGCUAUUAGUCUCCGAGAAAGUUAUCACAGAAUAUGGUCCUUCUCCUCCAUUGAAAGACUCGCAGAUUGCUGAUCUCGACCAUGACUCGUCUGAUGUUGCCUCUAGCGAAGCAGAAGAUGGUGAGAUUCAGGAGGAGAUAAAGGAGCAUUUUACAGAGGUUCUGUCAAAGCGCCAGCUUCACAAUUCCUGGAGUCUCAGGGGCAAGGGCCUUAAAUCCAAUUAGUAUAUGUAUAUAGACAUGUUUUGCUGGAAUGUCCGUGGUUUCAACAAGUAUUCACACCGAGGCAGAUUUAGGAAGUGGCUGCAUAGUAGUAAAUCUAUUUUUGGAAGUAUUAUUGAAACGCAUGUGAAGAGGCCGAAAAAUGUGAAGUUUGUCCAUGCUAUUUUUCCAGGUUGGAAAUUUGAGGACAACUAUGAGUUCUCUGAAUUAGGAAAGAUUUGGUUCUUUGGCACUCUAGUGUGCAGGUGACUGUGUUACAGAAGUCGCUCCAGAUGAUUACAUGUGAGAUGAGGCUUCCUUGUAACCCGAGUUUGAUUGGGUUUCUUUUGUUUACGCCUCCACAUAUUAAGCUUUGAGGAGGGAUCUGUGGACUGAGAUUGUGAACAUGGCCUCUGAACCGCGGGUUCAGAGCAAGGCAUGGUCUGUUUUGGGAGAUUUCAACCAAGUAGUCAGCCCUGAUGAGCACUCUUCCCCGGCCAGUUUGAAUGUUGACAAAGCAAUGUGAGUUUUUCGAGGUGUUUUGCUCAGCGCUGGAUUAGAAGACCUGACUUUCAGAGGUUGCUCGUUCACAUGGUGGAACAAAAGAAAGACUAGGCCAAUUGCAAAAAAGCUUGAAAGAGUACUGGUAAAUGAGGAGUGGCACUUGUUAUUCCUCAAUGCAGCUGGUUUUUUUUUGCCCUCCUGAUUUCUCGGACUAUUCUGUUGGUUAUGUUUAUUUGGAUUCUGCCUCCCCCAGGCAGAAGAAGCCUUUUAAGUUCUACAACUUCCUUCUGAAGCAUACGGAUUUUCAGCCUUUAGUGUGUGAUGCCUGGUACUCUACAAAUGUGAGUGGGUCGGACAUGUAUAGAGUUUCAAAGAAGUUAAUGGCCCUAAAAUCUGUGAUCCGCACCUUCAGUAAAUAAAAUUUCUCCGAACUGGAGAAGAGGGUGGUUGAGGAUCACGAUUCUCUGCUUGUCUGUCAGAACCUUAUAUUGCUUUCUCCUUCUCCUGCAAACGUUGAAUGUGAGCUGGAGGCACACCGGAAGUGGGAUAUCUUAUUGAAAACGGAAGAGGCUUUUUUCUGUCAGCGUUCUAAUAUAAAUUGGCUCAGUGAAGGAGAUAGGAACACUGCUUAUUAUCACAAGAUUGUUAAGUCCAGGCAGGCUUCAAACCACAUUCAUAUCCUCGACGAUGACCAAGGCAACCGAAUUGAUUCCCAGGCUGGAAUCAUUGAUCAUUGUGUUGACUAUUUUCAGAAUAUCCUGAGUGGUGCUCAAGAUUCACCAAUGUUUUUUGAGGAUGAUAUCACUUCUCUGCUUAAAUUUCGCUGCUCAGAACCCCAAAGGAAAGAGCUCGAGGUGUCUUUUUCAAAGACAGAAAUCAAGUCGGCUUUCUUCUCCAUUUCGAAGAACAAAGCUUGUGGUCCUGAUGGCUAUUCAGCAGAGUUCUUCACGGCUUGCUGGAUCAUCGUCGGUGUUGAGGUUACUUCUGUCGUAUCUGAAUUUUUUAUCUCUGGGAAAAUUCUUAAGCAGUAGAACGCCAAAAGUCUUGUUCUGAUUCCGAAGAUCCCCAACGCAUCGAGGACAAUAGACUUCCGCCCUAUAUCCUGUCUGAACACGGUUUAUAAGGUGAUAUCUAAGCUCAUAUCCUCUAGGAUGAAAUCCAUCUUGCCUUCGGUCAUCUCGCAUCACAAGACUGCUUUUAUGCAUGAGCGCCUUCUCGCCGGGAAUGUUCUACUUGCGACUGAGGUUGUCCAAGGCUACAACAGGAAGCAUAUUUCUCCCCGAGCCACUUUGAAAAUUGACUUAGGGAAGGAAUUUGAUUCAAUCCAUUGGGAUUUCAUUAUCGCAGCCCUAAAAGCAAUCAACGUGCCUGACAAAUUUCUGGGUUGGAUCAGCCAGUGCAUCUCAACCGCAUCAUUCCCUAUCUUGGUUAACAGGCAUUCUGGUGGUUUCUGUAAAAGCAGCAGAGGGCUGAGGCAGGGGGAACCUAUGUCGCCGAACCUUUUAGUUCUUGCGAUGGAGGUUUCUCAAACUUAUUGUAAUCUCGUUUUGCCUCUGGUUAUAUCGGGUUUUAUCCUGGCACCUCUGACAUCGACUUAUCCCAUUUGAUGUUUGCUGAUGAUCUGAUGAUCUUUUUGGAUGGUGCUAGUUCUUCCCUUCACGGUAUAUACAAAACCUUGGAUGAUUUUGCAGGAUGGUCGGGUCUAUGCAUGAAUAGGGACAAAACAACCCUAUACCAUGCAGGUCUUACUGUGGCAGCUGCUUCUUCUCUAAUGAGCUAUGGUUUUUCAUUGAGAUCGCUUCCAAUCCGAUACAUGGGUCUGCCUUUAAUGAGUAGGAAGCUGAAGAUAUCAGAAUACGCCCCUCUUCUUGACAAGAUCACUGCACGUUUUAAAGCCUAUGCUGUUAAAUCUCUCUCUUUUGCUGGAAGGGCUCAGCUUAUUGCAAAUAGUGGCUCACUCUGGAUUGCUUGGCAGCAGCAUCAUCACAAUAUCUCAUCGUACAGCUUUUGGAAGUUAGAUGCAAAGCAGAAUGACUCUGAGAUCUGGAAGCCCUUAUUGAAGUUACGGCUCCUCGUUGAGCAGUUCAUUCACUGCAGCAUUGAUAACGGCCAAACUGUCAGCUUCUGGUAUAAUGUAUGGAGUCUUUUUUGGCAGUUAAUCAAGUUCCUGGGACAUGAUGGUCUGCAAGAUCUGCGAGUAAGGAAAACUCAGUUGUUAGGAAUGCCUGUGACAAUUCUGGUUGGUUGCUACCGGCUCCAAAAUCUGAGAAUGCAGUCGCGCUUCAUGCUUACUUGUCUACAUUGCCUCUCCCUUCUCGUUCAGCUGCGGAUGAUGUUUAUGAAUGUACAGUAAAUGGCAAGUCUGUAGCAGGGUACUCUUCCAGCACCACUUGGACUAGCCUGGGGCCGGGAGGUCCUCUAGUUAACUGGGCAAAAUUAAUCUGGUCAAAGGAGCANNNNNNNNNNNNNNNNNNNNNNNNNNNNNNNNNNNNNNNNNNNNNNNNNNNNNNNNNNNNNNNNNNNNNNNNNNNNNNNNNNNNNNNNNNNNNNNNNNNNAUCUGCAACCUUGACCGGUUACCAACUAGGCCUAGCUUGCUUCUUGGAGAGUUAAAUGUGCCUAUAGACUGCUGCUUAUGCACUGGAUUUACUGAAACUCGGGACCAUCUGAUGCUGUUAUGCGGGUUUAGUAGGGCCAUCUGGCGGCUUGUCUUUUCUCGGAUUGCUUCGCCCAUAUCCACCAUAUCAUCAUGUUCUUCUCUGAUGCAGUGGCAGAUCUGCACUAGGGAAAGAAAUCCCUCUCUCCUCAGGCGGCUUGUGACUCAGGCCACCAUCUACAUGAUUUGGAAGCAGCAUAACAACAUGAUUCACAAUCAAACCUCAAUCUCACCGUUCAUUAUCUUCAAAGAUAUUGACAGGCAAGUCAAGAAUUCCAUUACGGCUAGGAAACGCCUAAAGAAAUUUAGAAAUCUCAUGGAGCUUUGGCUCAGCUGAUUUUUUUUUUGUCCUAAAUCUUUUAUAAUUUUCUUUGCUUCCUUGUUUUUUAAUAUUUUUUGCCAAAAAACCAAUUAUAAAUAGGUCUAACUUUUGUAACGCCUAUCUUUCAUUUAUAUGAUAUUUACAGUUUAGAAAAAAAAACCACAAAAAUACACAUUAUAUUUUAACCAAUGCGCUGACGAAAAUGGGGUGCAAAUCAGAAAAGGUUUUAAUACAAAGAACGAAAUUUGUGCCACCAUGACUUGAUAAAUUAUUAACCCGUACCCCACUCAAAAUUGAAAACGAUAAAAUCCUACAUAACAAAAAAAACAAAUUAAAACGUGAAAGGUUGACGAAAACCAGGGAGAUUGCCAUGUUCCUCUUUUUCUUUUGUGACAUGACAUACGUUUAAUUUCUUCGAUCUUUGCAACGUUUCAGUUGGCUUUGAAAAUGUAAGAGUAAUAAUACGGGAACUAACACAUAACACAACACAGGGAUUUUCUCUUCACAAAUAUUUCACUAGUAAAUUUGUUUGUAACUUACAAGUAUACAGAACCCGAUUUAGAGCAACCUCAAGACACACCUUGAUUUGCUACACUAGCCUCACCUGUUCUUGAAUCGAUACGUGAUUCAAGAACCUCUCACCCAAACCCCUUAGCACACUAGCUCACAAAAACUCUCACAGAUUUUCGCUCACCCAUUGCUAAGAAUUCUCUCUUUUGUGUUAAAAACCCUAAAAGGUUUUUCACACGACUAUUUAUACACAAUAGGACUUGCGGCUACUCCUCGCCUAGACUCUCUUUACGAUUUCUCCAAAUCUUCAUGAAAAUCUUCACCUUCUUUAUCUUCUCCUAAGAUAGAGGAAACUUGAUAUUUUUUUCAAAGAUCCUCCAAGAUACUCCAAGCUUCUUAUCCACGUCAGCUUCUCGUCUCUUGAAGUGUCCAGCACGUCCUGCAGCUCCAGCUCAGCUUCCAGCUCACCUCCACAUGUGUAGAUUGCUUCGCAAGUCUUCCCGUGUCAGUUCCAGAGCUAGUCGGACUGCUACACGUGCUGCUCCAGCCUUGUUUGCAUCUUCAAUCUCCCCCUUUUUAGCAUAUGUGCUUCACAAGUACCUGUCCAGGAAAUCAAGACCACAAACACCGACCAAAGAACUACAAGCCACACACAAUUCUGAGGUAAUUCCGAUUAAACAAAAGAACUCCAAGAAACCAAUGGAGUGUCAAGUCUUAACAUCAACGAGUUCAAGGAGAUAAAAGAUAAAACACAAUGUCUCAAAAAAAACUCUCUCCUUACUCCCCCAGAAUUCUAAAACCCCCAAAAUAAAUAAACCAAAAACUCCCCCAUAGUUCAUGCAUCCACCGAUUUCAAUCUUCUCCCCCUGCUUGUGAGCACAGAUGUUAAAAAUAAUUGAUGAGCAAACAUAAUUUGAAAGUUCAGAUAGGGUCUAAGUGAGUUUACCUGUGACUGCAGCGCGUAGCAUGGCCGUUACUAACCCGAGUUGCUCAAGAACUAAUGCCACAUCUUCAAGAGCUGUCCUGAUUCCCUCGGCAUCGGCUGCCGCCUCUGGCACUCGAAUCACUCCUAGACUCACGCUGUUGACUCCUCCAGUUGGUAUGUCCGGUUGUGCAGUUGUUCUAGAACGCAGAUUCGACCUUGGUUGAUGUGACGUUGAUGCUGAUGCAGACUUCUUCUGCGUCUCUUUCUUCUCCUUUUCCUUUGCCCUCACUUCUGUAGCAGCAGCUGCUUCUUUCUUGAGAAACGUCUCUCCGCUUCGUGGAUCUUUCUUGUACUUUGUUGGAAAGAUCCACAUCUCUCCUUCUUCAAGCUGUAGGAUCAACUGUCUCUUAAUAACCUUGCUGAUGAGACAGGGAAACAUCAACCAACUCCGAUCUCCUCUGAUCACUUUGCUCAGAUCGAGCAUCUGCUGAAAGAUCAUCCGUCCUAUGUCUACUUUGACUCCAUGAGCCAGUUUGUAGACCAGUCUUGCUCGCUCUUCGGAGAUGUGGUGUUUAUUUGUUGAUGGUACCCAGUUGUACGAAGCAAUAACCAUCAGCGCAGCUAUCCUGGGUGGAAAGUCCCUUGACGUCAACUCGGACCAAACAGACUGAUGUCCCUGGGACAGAUACUUCGAUAUCUCGGAGAUUGGCACAAGAUCUGCCUCUGCUUCUUCCUUCCUCUCUGCUUCAGACAACGGCUCACGACGAAGAGUCUCAUUGAUGAUUCCUGGCGAGAUCCGGACCUUUGCUCCCCAGAUCCUUACCACAAACACCUGUGAUGGGUCACUUGGUGUCUCAGGUGGUAGUCCGGCGUAGAACUCUCGUACCACCUUACUCAUGUAAGGUUCGAGCUCCGUCACUGACCACCGCAUUCCACUUUGAAGAAGUACCUCAUGAUACUUCCACUCGUCAGCCUCAUCCACAUCAACAAUCCUUUCGCACCAGAUGUGCCGAUCUUUAAAGAGUUGGAUUCGUUCGUCAGUCACCGCCCUCUUCUUCUUCCGAAGAUUUGUCUUCUUUUUCUUCCUUUUCUCAGGUUUGGAAGAUUCAGCUUUCUUGUUCGAGGACUGCGAUGGCUCUGCUGGUCCACUCGGAGGAGUAGUUUCUGAGUCAUCGAGAUCUUGUCGGGGUCGCUUAGCUGGAGAGACCAGGGCUACUUGCAGACUUUGUUUUCUUAUCUGUUCGUCGAUCUGGUCUUGAACAGACAUCUCUUCCGGAAUUAGAUCACACGCUGGAUCGACUGACUGAGUUUCUUCCUCCUGAGUUGCUUCAGGAACCUUCGAAUUAGCCUCUGUAGACUUUUCCGGAAGACUCUCCAGCGUUGAGUUCCUCAGAUCCUUCUCCUGAGCCUCGACUAGGUUCGGCGAAUCAGUCGGAUUCUGAACCUCCUUCGAUGUUUCAGGUUCUGAUUCUCGGCUGGGUUUAACCGAUGAUUCACCUCCUUCCUCGGCUGUAGCGAAGGAAUCACCAUCGCUACAGGGAUCUUUGGGCCGAAUUUCUUGUUCUCCAACAAGUGGAACUGUUGGAGUUCCUUCAUCGCUGAUUCCAUCUUCGAUGAUGUGAGGCUGUGAGGCAUCGGUGGCUGCAUGUGUCAUCUUGGACUUUGAUUUCUUUCCAAUGACUCCUCUGCGUGUUCCUGUCACCAUUUAAAGCGCAGAUCUAGAAGGCGAUGCUUCGAAUUGAGUCACACAUAUUCUUUGCACCUAGGGUUUUGGGACAAUUCAGUGUUGCGUCUCUUCCUCUUCCUCUCCCACAAAUAUAGCAACUUCAAUUUCCCUCUCCUCUGUUUUGAUUUUCCUUUUUUUUUUUCAUGGGCUGUUGUUGGGCCUGCCUGCAUAAGCAUCAUUUGUCCAAGGCCCACUUUCUGUUUAACCAUGACAAGUCUUUUUCUAGCACAAGGAAAUCCAUUAGUACACCACAAGGAAUACGACAGUCAUUGACACAUUUAAUCCGAAGAGUUUUGUGAUGACUAACAUGAAUAGUAACCGUUCAUAUCAUCACACCUCAACUAGCUUUUGAAAACAGUUUUUUUUUUUGAGAUUAGCUUAUUUACCCAGAUUCACAGAUGACACAUAGGCUGACUCAGCACAUGACUCGAAUGAUCACUCCCCUUCUUCUUGAUUCUUUAUGCCUUGCCAGGUUUGAUACUGAGACUAGCUUUCACAUUAUCUUGUCUUUAUCACGCUCUUCAUCAGUUUUCAACCUUUAUUCAGCAAGAGAGAACCCUGGUCCACCGUCACAGUGUAUUUUUUUUUUCUUUUUGGCUGAAAUACACCGCGACUUGGCAGCUUCCUUUCUUUUUCUGCCUUGGGUUUUUCUUAGGCUUCGGACAGGUCUCCUUUUUUUUUGUUUUUGAUGUAGAGCUUGUCUCAGCAGCACAGAUUGAUCUGUAGCUCAGUCUUAUCACUGUGGAUUCUCAAAGACCGACUUACAUUGCUUCCAGGUUGUUUAGUUCUCUCUGUGAAACUUGUACUGAUGUCGAGACAUGACGACAAGAUAGGUAGUUCUUUUCCUCUGACCUUUUACCCUCACGGCUGAAUCGAAACGUUUUGUUCAUCCUGAGUUUGUACCUGUGUCAGUUCUGCACAUCUCAAAGCACUUGUUAGAUUCCACAAACACCAAUCGCAUUUCUUAAAGUGACAAAAUGAUUAAAUUCCAAUGGUUUUGUGAAUAAAUCAGCCAGUUGAGAUUUAGUGACAACAUGCUCGAUCACUACCUGUUUUUCCUCCACUAACUCACGAAUAAAGUGGUGUCUUAUGUCGAUGUGUUUUGUCCUUGAGUGUUGUACUGGGUUCUUGGAAAUACUUAUAGCACUCUUGUUGUCACAGUACACAAGAAGUGGACCUGAAUCCAUUCCAUAGUCAGCGGACAUCUGCUUCAUCCACAGUAGUUGGCUACAACAGCUUCCCAUGGCAAUGUAUUCUGCUUCAGCAGUGGAGAGGGACACUGAAUUCUGCUUCUUGCUGAGCCACGAGAUGAGGUUGUUCCCGAGAAAGAAACACCCACCACUGGUGCUUUUCCUGUCAUCAACACUUUCUGCCUAAUCUACAUCACAGUAUCCCACUAGGUUCUGAUUCGAUCCUUUCGAGUACCAGAUACCUAAAUCAACUGUGCCCUUGACGUACUUGAUGAUCCUCUUUACAGCCUCAAGAUGAGAAUACUUAGGUUUAGCUUGGUACCUAGCGCAGAUGCCAACACUCAGGCACAGAUCCGGUCUGCUCGUUGUGAGAUAGAGGAGACUCCCAAUCAUUCCUCUAUACAAAGUUGGAUCAACACUUGUUCCUUCAUCAUCUCGCGUGAGACUGGUGGUUGUGCUCAUUGGGGUCUUUGCUUCUUUGGCUGAAUCAAGCUUGAAUCUUUUCAAGAGAUUUCUAGCAUAGGUGCUUUGUGAUAUGAAGACACCUUCCUCAGAUUGAGUGAUCUGAAGUCCCAAAAAAUACUUGAGCUCUCCCAUCAUACUCCUCUCAAACUCAGUCGUCAUGCUUGCAACAAAAGCAUCAACUAGCUUUUGAGAGGUCCCUCCGAAGAUUAUGUCGUCCACAUAAAUCUGAACAACCANNNNNNNNNNNNNNNNNNNNNNNNNNNNNNNNNNNNNNNNNNNNNNNNNNNNNNNNNNNNNNNNNNNNNNNNNNNNNNNNNNNNNNNNNNNNNNNNNNNNUGCAACCUUGCCCUUUCCAUCGCGAAUAUGGGCCCACUCCUUCUACUUGGGAGUAUCCCUGAGCCACUAGACGAGCUUUGUUUCGAACCACUGCUCCAUUCUCAUCAAUUUUGUUCUUGAAAAUCCACUUGGUUCUCACAAUGUUGCAGUCCAUCGGUCGUGGCACUAGUUCCCACACGUCAUUUCGAACAAACUGCUCGAGUUCUUGUUCCAUGGCAAUGAUCCAAAACUCAUCCUGCAACGCUUUUCUGUGAUCUUUUGGUUCAAUCACUGACAUAAAGCAGGAGUAUAGCACCAUCUCAGAGAACUUCCCAACCAUUUUCUUGAAAUCCAGUUGAAUGCCACGAGUCUUCCUCCCUUCAUUCACCUCACCGAUGAUAUCUGAGGCUGAAUGAUUCCGAUGAACUUGCUUGGUGUUCUCCUGAGUCACGAUUUGAGGCUCUUCGGUUGACACAGAAGGCUGUUGCAUCGCCUCUGCUGUCUGUGUUACCCGAUCCACUUCAUCACCUUCAGAAUCACUCCCGAUCAGAGGCUUCUCCCAUUCCAUCUGAGCGUAGUCAUCGAACACCACAUUGACUGACUCAACCAGAACCUUCGUCCUCAUGUUAAACACACGAAAGGUUGAGCUAUGACCUGAGUAGCCCAGGAAAAUUCCUUCAUCACUCCUUGAAUCAAACUUUCCAAGAUGAUCCUUAUCAUUCAAGAUGUAGCACCUGCAUCCAAAGACAUGAAAGUAACUUACGUUAGGCGUCUUUCCUUUCCAUAAUUCAUAAGGAGUUUUUGAUGUUCCCUUUCGCAUGUACACCCGAUUGAUUAUGUAACAUGCUGUGCUGACUGCUUCUGCCCAAAAACGUUUGGGAACUUGAUUUCCAUAGAUCAUCGCACGAGCCAUCUCCUGAAGUGUUCGAUUCUUCCGUUCCACUACGCCGUUUUGCUGUGGAGUUCUGGGUGCAGCAAACUGAUGAGCUAUUCCAUGACUUUCACAGAACAACUUCAUGAACUCGUUCUGAAACUCUCCUCUAUGAUCACUCCUGACUCGUUUGAUUGAACCUCGUUCAUUCAUGAGUUGUAGAGCCCAGAUUCUGAAGCUGUCCGCCGUGUCAGACUUUUCUCGGAGAAACCUAACCCAUGUGAAUCUGGUGAAGUCGUCAACCAGCACAAACACAUACUUUUUACCUCCCAAACUCUCUGUCUGAACUGGCCCCAUCAGAUCCAUGUGAACUAGAUCAAGUGGUGCUUUGGAUUGUACAUAAGGUACUCGUUUGUGUUGAACUUUGACCUGUUUGCCUUGGUUACACGCUCCACACACAACUUAUCUCCUCCUUUAANNNNNNNNNNNNNNNNNNNNNNNNNNNNNNNNNNNNNNNNNNNNNNNNNNNNNNNNNNNNNNNNNNNNNNNNNNNNNNNNNNNNNNNNNNNNNNNNNNNNCACUGCUCUGCAUCCUUUGUUGGUGAAUAUCACAAUUAGCCCUUCAUCACACAGUUGACUUAUGCUGAUAAGAUUCGCCUUAAGUCCCUGUACUAAGCAUACAUUGACUAGAUCAGGCUGAUCUUCGUCUUUUAUAAUACCUUUUCCUUGUAUGGCACCGACACUUCCAUCACCAAACAUAACUCUUCCUCCCUUAAUUUUCUUAACAUUUCGGAGGUAGCUUCGGUUUCCAGUCAUGUGUCUUGAGCAGCCACUAUAGAAGUACCAAGGCUCUGACUCGUCUUCAUCGCUUUCAACUUGUGCCAUGUUGCACUUGAAUCCAUGCCACAGCAUUGACAUUGGAUCAACUCUGGAAGAUCUCUUAACAGUGAAUUCUCUCGGCUUGAUGGGAUUCUUCUUCAGUUGUCCCUUAGGUUCAAAUCGCAAAUCCUCUUUCCUGACCCAGACUUGAUUCGUGGAUCCAUUCCAACUAAACUUAUGUUGCUUCAUCAGUUUCUGAACCCUGUUCCAUCUGCUGUAGCAGUAUGCCUUGAUAUGUCCGAUCUUGCCACAGUAAUAGCACUCUUGUCCUUUUCGCGGUUUGGUGGCAGAUCUUCGUCCUUCAGGCUGGUUGUAUCCGGAUGAGAUAAACUUGAUUUCAUCUGAGCUCCUCUGUUCCCAUCCACUGUACCUCAGCCCAUGCUUUGUAUUGGUUUGACAUCCGUAGCUCAGGAUGUUGUCUAGUUGCUUGGUCCCUGCGAACAUCUGAAUCUGCUUCUUUAGCUGAUCUAGUUCUGACUCCAGCUUCUCCGAUAUUUGCUUUUCAACCUUUAGAUGCUGCCUCAGACUUUCAGCUUUGUUGGCUAAUUCCAGCUUCUCCUUGAUCAAGUCAACACUUCCCUUGCCAAGUGCAUUUGCUGCUUUGAGAUCUUUGCUGAGCUUGUCUACUAAUACGGACAGUCUCUGGUUUUCUUUCUUCAAUUCACUGUUUUCUUUGUUGAGGCUAACCAGGACAUGACGUACUUCCUUGUAGCUGCUUAUGAGAUCAUCCUCCUUCUCUUCUUCAGGCUCUGACUCUGACUCCUGUCCCUCCUCAAUUUCAGCGAUCCCGAUAAACGUCACAAAGUUGUUUGUAUCUUCAACUGAGUCAUCCUCUGAGUCAUCAUCCGAUUCUUCCUCAGCCAACAUGGACUUGUCCUUCCUGCGAUUUUGAUCAUUGACACAUUCCAGCUGAGUGUGUCCAAAUCCUUUGCAGCCAUAGCACUGAAUCUCCUGUCGCUUGAUAGUAGGACAAUCAUUCUUGAAAUGUCCAUAUCCCCUGCACUCAUGACAUUGCACCUCACUCUUCCUGUUAGACUUGUCCCCCUCAGUUGUCUUCUUGAAAGAGGCAACCUUCUUCUGAGGUUUCCCAGUUUUCCGCAAAGCACGAUCAAAUCUUCGAACCAGAACACUUAUGGGAUCGUCUUCCUCAUCUUCAGUGGUGCGGUUUUCACAUUUUAGAGCUAGACUUUUAGGUUUCUUCAGACUGUCUAGCUCCAUCUCAUGAGCUUUCAGCAUGCCUACAAGUUCACUAAAUGGCAUGUUCUCUGUGUUGCUGGACACACUGAGUGCAGAUUUAUACCCCAUAAACCUCGAUGGCAGACACCUCAAGAAUUUCUUCACCAGCUUCUUAUCUUUGUAUUUUUUGCCUAACACAGCUGCUUCUUGUGCCAGAGCACUUAGUUUUGAACUGAAUUCAGAGAUGGUUUCAUCCUCCUCCAUUUUUAGAUUCUCAAAGCGAGAAGCAAGCAUGUCCUUUCUGGAGUUUUGAACCUUUGUUGUACCUUCGUACUGCAUCUGAAGUAUGUCCCAUGCUUCUUUGGCAGUCUCAACACCUUGAAUCAGCUCAAAUGUCUUUCUUGAUAUGUUGGUGUGAAUGGUAGCCAGCGCCCUUGAAUUGUACUUUGCUCUUUUUGACUCCUCUUCAGUCCAACUUUCUUCUGGUUUCUGAUGAAAGACUCCGUUGGCAUCAGCUACCAGUGGUUCUUCCCAUUUAUCAGUUACUGCCUUCCAUGCUAGUGGAUCGAUCCCUUUGAUCAUGGAUCUGAUCCUAGCUUUCCAAAAACCGUAGUUCCCAUCAUCCAGGAUGAUCCUGGAGUUGUUCACCAUUUCCUUAUAGCUCUCCAUUUUCUCCGCAGGAUCUCACCUGUUUGUAAUACACACAGAUGACCGCUCUGAUACCAAAUGAAAAUGUAAGAGUAGUAAUACAAGAACUAACACAGAACACAACACAGGGAUUUUCUCUUCAAGAAUAUUUCACUAGUAAAUCUGUUUGUAACUUACAAGUAUACAGAACCCGAUUUAGAGCAACCUCAAGACACACUUUGAUUUACUACACUAGCCUCACCUGUUCUUGAAUCGAUACGUGAUUCAAGAACCUCUCACCCAAACCCCUUAGCACACUAGCUCACAAAAACUCUCACAGAUUUUCGCUCACCCUUUGCUAAGAAUUCUCUCAGUUAUGUUAAAAACCCUACAAGGUUUUUCACACGCCUAUUUAUACACAAUAGGACUUGCGGCUACUCCUCGCCUAGACUCUCUUUACGAUUUCUCCAAAUCUUCAUGAGAAUCUUCACCUUCCUUAUGUUCUCCUAAGAUAGAGGAAACUUGAUAUUUUCUUCAAAGAUCCUCCAAGAUACUCCAAGCUUCUUAUCCACGUCAGCUUCUCGUCUCUUGAAGUGUCCAGCACGUCCUGCAGCUCCAGCUCAGCUUCUAGCUCACCUCCACGUGUGUAGAUUGCUUCGCAAGUCUUCCCGUGUCAGUUCCAGAGCUAGUCGGACUGCUACACGUGCUGCUCCAGCCUUGUUUGCAUCUUCAGGCUUCACUACAAAGAUACCAUCACCCUCAAGCAACAUACAGUCUUAUUUUUCUAACGUUUUGCUUCCAGAUUUUCAGCUAUCGAAUUUCCUUAACUUCUUUGAUGUAUUGCUGUGAAAGACGAUGAAACAGUUCUUGUAGUUGACCUUUUUCUGAAAUCCAGGAAAAAAUGUGAAUUUAGAAAAAAUGUGGAGACUUGAAGUGAAUCACUUGCAUAUUAGGAACAUAUAAUCAUUUUAGUUACUUGCUGCUUAUUGUUGAAUAUUAAAGGUUGGUAUUAAUUACAUGAAAUUAGGAAAGUCAAGAGAGCAUCUACUAGAACUUGCUCUCGAAGAUUUUUUAUGUAUAUAAAUUAGCUUUUAAAGGCUCAUGAAUAUGAUCCGAAAACAUUGGCCAAUUUCUAUUUCUUUAUGGUAUUAGAGCCUAAACCGGGAAUCAUGAGUGAACAACGAUAACAUUGAGGUUACUAUCUAUAAUAUCUGCCAAUAUAUGUAUAACUUGAGACAUUUUCAGCAAAGGCUUGCCAAAUGGUCACCAAGAAAACACAGUCAAAUAACAAGUGUGCAUGGGAUUAUGUUCUCGUUGAACAAAGAGAAGAGAAGAGCUAGAGGAACAUUCAUACCCCAUCUUAGAAGUCUGUCUCUUAUUGAACGGUGACCAAGAAUUGCCAGAGGAUAAACAAAGCACGAGGGAUCGACUCCUUAAACCAAACAACAUGUGCCCAUGAGACCGGAGGAGUGACAAUACUUAGUUGUUCCCAUGUGCCCUUAAAAGAGAAGUUUCUUGAUUAAUUAACCAUGCAAACUUUCUCAAUUGCUUGACGUCUUCACUCUUCACCAAGACAUGUGGACGAUGUAAAUUCGAAGGAACUAUAGUUAAGUUGGACAUUUUAUUCUCCUACACUCUAAAGUGAAUGAGGUAUUAAAAUAGAUCCUAAAACUUGUUUUCCAAGACUUUGUGUGUGUAUAUAUAAGUUGGCCUUUGAAAGGUCAUGAAUAUCAUCAGAAAAAUCUACUACUUGAGAUUUGUUCAAUAAAGAAAACAAAAGGAUCAAUCAAUCAUAAUCCAUUGAUCAAAUGGAUGCUCAAACAAUUUUUCUCUAUCUUUUACUUUUCUUCCUCUCUCUAAACUUCGUGUAUGCAACUCUAAAACGACGGUUGACUCCGGCGAAUACACGGCGGCUAAUCCGUCUCCUUCCGAUCAAAUCCCCGAUCGUCACCGCCGUUUUCGCCAGAAAAGACGUCCACGAGUUUCUUGAUUCUUUGAUCCAAGUAGAUAACAAAGAAGACGGUUUCGAUUUCAAGCCGUACAUGAUCAGCAAAGCAGAGUUAAUAAACAGAGCACUAGACGAAGCCAUUCCACUCAUCGAGCCUCUCAACAUCCACGAGGCAAUGCGUUACGCGAUUCUCGCCGGCGGGAAACGCGUCAGGCCAAUACUCUGCCUCGCCGCCUGCGAGCUAGUUGGAGGAGAAGAGCGUUUAGCGAUUCCCGCGGCUUGUGCGGUUGAGAUGAUUCACACAAUGUCACUCAUCAAAGACGAUCUUCCUUGUAUGGACAACGACGAUCUCCGGCGAGGAAAACCCACCACACACAAAGUCUUCGGAGAAAGCGUCGCCAUUCUCUCCGGCGGUGCACUCUUGGCUCUGGCUUUCGAGGGUUUGACGGAAUCUAACGUCUCACCGGAGAAAAUGGUUCGAGCCGUUAAAGAGCUUGCGAAAUCCAUCGGAACAAAAGGACUCGCGGCGGGACAAGCCAUGGAUUUGAGCAGUGAAGGGUCGGAUCAAAACGACGUCGGAUUAAAGGAACUCAAGUUUAUUCACGUUCAUAAGACCGGUUCGUUGCUUGAAGCAUCGGCGGUUAUCGGAGCGGUUAUUGGUGGUGGAUCGGAGGAAGAGAUUGAGAAAGUGAGAAGCUUUGCGAGGUGUAUUGGAUUGUUGUUUCAGGUGGUUGAUGAUAUUUUGGACGUGACGAGAUCGUCGGAGGAAUUGGGGAAAACCGCCGGGAAAGAUAAGGUCGCCGGAAAGCUGACGUAUCCUAAGGUCUUGGGGAUUGAGAAGUCGAAAGAGUUUGUUCAGAGAUUGAAGAGAGAUGCAAGAGAACAUCUUAAAGGGUUUGAUUCGGACAAAGUGAAACCUUUGAUAGCUCUUGCUGACUUCAUUGCCAACAGAAAUAACUGAAAUUGUUGUUUUGUCAUUGCAACGGAUUAUCAGAUAAUUUAGUGAAGAUGGUGUUUUUAAUAAACGUGCAAAACAUCUUUUGUUAAUCCACUACACACCACGAUUUGUCUUGAUGAAUUCUAUAAAAAUUAAAUUUAAUUAAAUUAUGUAUAAAAUAACCAUUGCCGGGAUUUAUGUUUAUGUUAAAUUAGUAUGUUAACAUGAUAAUUGCAGUUUUUUUCGACAAAAAAAAACAUAAAAAUUGCAGUAGUUUAAUUAUUUUUUGUAAGUAGAAUGAGUAAAAUUUUCUGAAAUUAAUUUAGCUGAAUGGUCUUUUGAUUAAUCACUCAACUGUUGAAUAAGACCAACCAUCACAUCGACCCAACGAGUCAAUUGACUUUUAAAACCCUUUGAUACUUAUAGUGAAGUUUUGAUUAAGAAGUAACAAUGUUUCAUAUCCGAAUUUCAGUUAAAGAAAUAUACUUCAACAACUUAUAACUCUUCACGACUUAAUUUUAGUAAUUAAUAUUUGAUUGAUUGAGUCUUUCUUCAAGGAUCCAGCUUAGGAAUCCUUUAACCGAGGCUAAAGACAGAGAGUCAGAGACAUUCAUUCAUUUAUGGGAUAAACAUACAUCUAAAAAUACAAGAUUCAUUAACUAAUACUCCAUAUAGUUAUACUCCAUAAAAGCCAGAAUCAAAUAUUCCAAAAGUAUUUUUAAUUAAUGUAUUGAGCAAAGGUUACCUCAGGGCAACUAAAUAACAUUAUCCUUAGCUGUUCAUAAUACUUGUGCUAAAGAAAACAAACCAACAAUUUUCUUCAAAGCCAAACACGGAACAGAAUCCGCCUUCUCACGUCAACAUUUCCGUCCUGAUCAUCAAUCAAAAUCACACAAAAAUCUCAGUCCAAACUAACUUAUAAAAUCAUAAGUAGGAGAUGUUCACAAUUUUGUUCAAAAACAAGUUUAGUUUUUACCAGGUAGCUUCUUCGCUCGUUGAACCAGUCGGGUAUCGAAUGAUCCUCUGCAGAAUCACGGUUCUUGCCUUUGUCACAUCGCUACAAUACUUAUUCGCAUGUUUCCCGAGUUCUUCAAUGGUUUCAGUAAACACAUCAAGCUUCUUCUUUAUCUCAUCUAUCGCAAGCCUCACAACGUUCUCCUCUGUCACAGCAAACUCAGCAUUCUUCAACAAAGAUUCAAUCUCUACUUCCACUUUCCGCACAAGAACACUUAUAUUAUCCAUCUCCUUAACUGAUAUAUAAGUCCCGAUCCUGAUCGUUGUAAUAAUCUCCUUCUGUCCUCUAACCACUUUCUCGUAUUUGGUCCAAAGAGAGUUGCACCAUUUACCAACAGAUCCCACCGGAACAGCCAAUGCACCAGCUAUAGCCGCCACAACAGGCGGUGCAGCCACGGCGGCUGCAACCACCGAGAAGAUAAGCACAGAGAUAAACGCAGUCACAAACACCAUGUUGGACACUCUUCGCCAUGUUUUGAUGUUCUUGAGUUUCUUAUCAAGCUUUCUCUUUAGCUUAUGAAGCUCAUCAAGCAUCAAGACCUGAUGUUUGUGUACCAAAUCGAAAAGAGCAAAGAACUCUUUAGUAAACGGAUCACCUGCUGAUUUAAACCUCUUAAGCUCCUCAAGCGUCUUCUCAUACUUUCUGUUCUCGUUAUUCCCAUUUAACGGUAUCUCAGACUCUUCUUCAAACUGCUUAACAGCAAACUGAAUAAUCACUUGGCUUCUCCUCGCGCGGUUUAGGCAAUUCUCGAGCUCAGAGCAGAAAUCCAUUGUCUUUGAAGUGCUUGCGAAAUACAUAUUCACAAGAGAGAACAAAUCUUGAUUGUUCCAUAUAUCCUCUUUGUCCUGCAGUAUAACUUUGACCACGUCUUGAUUCAUAUCUAAAAGGCAUUGUGUCACUUCUCUAAGGGAAUCAAACGACAAGGAUUUGAUCUCCACGCCUGAUGCGAGCUUGUUGAUGACUCGGUUAGUUCGUUCGUGAAGCGCAGAGUCAAAAGACUCGAGCUUUGGGUCUUCACUACAAGCUCUCUCGUAAGAGCUCAAGUCCUCAGUGUAAGCUGAGUUUAUCUUGAUCUGUACAGGUGUUGUAGGUGAACCAAAUUCAUCACUUUUUCUGUUCUUGCUAGAUUUUCCUCCCAUCAUUUCUCUUUCUAUCUAUGAAAAUGUUGAAAUUUUUGGACCUGAUCAGAGAAUAAGAGCUACGAAUUAGAAAAUCAAACCGAUAUUGAGCUUGUAGAGCAAGAGAGAUAUCUUCAAUUACCAAAAGCAGAAGCUAGAGAAGUAAUGCAAUAUGAAAAAGAUCGAAAUGGGUAUUUGAUUUAUAGCUUAAAGCAACCAAAUUUCAACCGAAUCUUGCGGAGCAAUCUAAAAUCAGACGUAACUGGAACCGACAUCGAAGAGAGAGAGAGAUAAAAAGGCGAAAACUUUAACCCCAAGAGUACUAGAAAAUCGCAGGAAAUCUGUAAAAAAGUGAAACGAGAGUUCAAGAUCAUGAAGUAAAAGUAGUAAUUACCUGGGAAUUUGCAGAUGAAUUUUGGUAAUGAGAAUGCGAAUGAAAGCAGAGAUUCUCUGGUAAAAAAAAGGGUGGAAUUUUGUAUAAAGGUAAAGCGUGAUUAUUGAGGGUUUUUAAUUCUUUUGAGAUUCUGGGAGAGAAGUAGCUUGUACGCUUUGGGGGAAAUCGGAAGGGAAAGAGAAAGAGAAAAUGCGGGAAAAUUUCAAGAGAAAGGGAGAGAUCUGAGAAGGAAGACCAUUUCACGCGGUUUUCCACAGUGUGAGAAAGUCUUUCUUACAGUACUCUCGACUUGGCCUUGACGGACUCAUCAAUGGCUAGUGAAACAUGAAAGAACGAAGAAAGAAGAAAGAAAAAAUAAAGAAAGAAUUCAAGAAGAAACUGAAGAAAAUAAAAUAUUUUUUUUGCUUUUUCUUUUGUUGUCUGAACAAAGACAAAUUAAUCAGUCGUCGAGGCUUGAAAAUUGAAGCCCUGGGGCCAUUCAUUUUCCAUCUAGAAUAGAAUAACUUAAACAGUAAUAAGAUUAGUUUGACCAAAAAAAAAAAAAACAGUAAUAAGAUUAGUUUAUUUUUAACCAAAAUGUUAAAUUUGAAUAUAGUUUAACAACAAAUUUCAUUUUAGUUUAUAGGUUAGCGCUAAGGUUUUUGUUUUCUAAAAUAAUGACAAAAUAUUAUACCAAUUUCCAUGAAAGGUUUUGAAGUUUUUUUUUAAUUUCUACAAUAUCGUUUUGGAAUAAGUGCCUGCCUGUUUUCAGUUUUUUUUUCUGUGGAUCUAAUUACAUAAAUAAUUCAGAAAAAAAAAAAUCUCUAUCUUGUAUGGAAUUUUCAAAAUGUUAUAAAAUCAUGAAUUGACCAUUUCUUACUCCAUGAUUUUCUGUAGAAUCUCCAUGAUUUUAUAUUUCUACAAUAUAUUUUUGGAGUAUUGAUUAUAAAUUGUUGAAUCCUCAAUGAUUUUUAUAAAAUAUGUAUCAAGUAUUUCCUCCUCACGUUUUCCUCUCUAGUAUAAUAAACCAGAAAAUAAACUCUAAUCAACGUAACGUUCUAUAAUCUGCUUGAUUCUCUGAAUAUUAUUGAAUUCCAAGAACCAACCAUCCAAUACGACACACGACUCAGAAACCAUUAGUGGACACCAAAGAGACAAUAAUAUAUUAAUAUUAAAUAAAUUUAACACAACUCUAAUAUUAAAUAAAUUUAACACAACUCUAAAUGUCCAAUGUACUAAUCUCACAACAAACAUCAUCAAUCAUCACUAUCGUGCCUUCAAGAUCUAACCUAAUAAGACUUUAUCAAAUCUACUCUGUAAUCAGACCAUCCAAAAUUACAAAAUACGAGAGAGAGAUUUGUUUCACAAUAAGUAAAAAACUUCCAAUCUUUAUAACCAACAAAAGACUGUUAGAGAAACUAGAACAUGAAUCAUAAUGUUCUCUUUCUUUAGUUUCUAACUCUCUUGACGGAGAAUAUUACCCAAUAACUAAACAUUCGCAAUUGAGUUUAAUUCUGUCUUUUGGCAAUGUAAUUAGCCAAAGCCAAUAAAGGUGCAACCUUUUCCGGAUCAAAUCCUUGAAGCUGUUCUUGAGCAUCACUCAUCAACUUCUUUGCAAAUUCUUUCGAUUUCUCAAGACCCAUUAACUUCGGAUACGUCAGCUUAUCGGCGAUCAAAUCUUUUCCGGCGGUUUUUCCCAAUUCCUCCGACGAUUUCGUCACAUCCAAUAUAUCAUCAACCACCUGAAACAACAAUCCAAUGCAUCUCGCGAAUCUCCUCAGCUUCUCUAUCUCUUCGUCGGAUCCACCACCAACGAUGGCUCCCAGCACCGUCGCCGCCUCCAGCAAAACCGCCGUUUUAUGAAUGUGGAUAAACUCCAAAAGCUCUAAUCCGACGUCGUUUUGAUCCAUCCCUUCACUGCUUAGAUCCACGAUUUGACCCGCCACAAGCCCUUCUGAUCCAACGGCUCUCGCUAGCUCUCCGAUUGCUCUAACCACCCUCGCCGGAGAUACCCUCGACGUCGCUAAAUGCUCAAAGGCAAACGAUAAAAGCGCGUCUCCGGCUAAAACGGCGACGUCUUCGCCGAAGACUUUGUGGUUGGUGGGUUUUCCGCGGCGGAGAUCGUCGUUGUCCAUACAUGGGAGGUCGUCGUGGAUUAGCGACAUCGUGUGGAUCAUUUCGACCGCGCAAGCCGCCGGUAACGCGGCGGAUUCUUCGCCGCCGACUAGCUCGCACGCGGCGAUGCAGAGAACCGGUCUCACUCGUUUUCCGCCGGCAAGGAGCGAGUAACGCAUCGCCUCGUGGAUCUUGAUCGGUUCUCGGAGCGAGACGGCGGAGUCUAGAGCUUGAUUGACGGAAUCCGCUUUGCCGAUCAUGUAAGACAUGAAAUCGAAUUUGAGGCUGUCUUCUUCUCCUUCCUGGACGAUACUGUUGUUACUCUCUUCUCUGGUGACUGAUAAAGCGGUGAGUUUUUGUCGGAGAAGGAAAGGUUGGAUUUUGAUGACGGAUUUGUUGGACCCGGGUAUGGAUCCGGGUACGGUUCUGGGUGUUCUGCAAGAGUGAUGUACCCAUGAGCUUAGAUUCACGGUAGCCAUGGCGAAUUCUCGAAAUUUAUGGAAAAAAUUGAAUCUUUUUUUCUAAAUUGGGAUUGGAUUUAGAGUGAAUGAGUUGGGUAAUGGAGUGUCUGGACUAGAUACGAUGAUGAUGAUGAUGAUGAUGAAAUAAAUAUAAAAUUUUUCACUUUAUUUAAAUGACGAGUCCACUCAAAAAGUGUAAAUUCAUUUCCUUUUUGUUUUCUUUUACCUUUGACGAUUUUUUCCUUCUUCUUAGAUUUGGAUCAUUGGAUGUUGUGUUCUGUGUAGAUUUAGAAUGGUAAAAAACAACCAGAGUUAGUAGAGUGGCAAUUUUCUAUGUAACACAUCUCGUCAAUUUUUAGUAGACCACUAGAUUAGCUGGGAAAAAGUUUUCUUUUUCUGUCAAAAAUAUACAUUUUUAUCUUGUUCACAAUGGUGUUACUGUUUUGGCUCUACUUCAACAGUUCAACCUAACAUUAGCCAAAUAAUUACACCGCUUUAUCAACUGCAAUAUAAUUCUCAAUCCAUUUUGGAACCACUUAAUUUUUAUAAUUAUAUAUAUAAUUUUAAAUGAACUCUCUCCUUUCUGCUGCCACAUGAGCAUCUAGACGAAGGAAGCAUAUCUUUUCAUCCAAUUAAUAAAUCAUAAAUUUUAAAAUAAAAAAUAGAAACUAACUAAUACCACUACUUCUAACUUAACUUUUCUAUUUAAUAUUUAUUUCAUAUAUAUAAAUAUUCAUAACUAUUAAGUUACAUUAAAAUUAAAGGUUUCUAUAUUUCUAACAAAAAUAAAUAAACAAUCUUUCUAAUUUCUUAGUAUUCGUCUAAAAACUUUUAAUAUUUUUUACACUAAUAUUUUUUGUAUUCGUCUAUACUUUUUAUAAAAUUCAUGAACACCUUUUUUGAAACUUGUUGUAUGAAAAAAUGUAAAGAUGUAGCGUACUCUACAUUCAUGUGUCAAAUAUCAUAUUAUUAUAGUUACAUUUUAUUGUGAAACAUGAAAUAUGGUGUGGUUCUUGCAGAAUCAUGGCAAUUAUGCAUGUCAUAAAUAUGAGAACAUUAAAAAUCAAAAGUAAUUAUAUGUUUUCAAGCAAUUCAACCAAAAAAAUAUGGCUUUUAUCUAUGUCUUUUUUUACUCAUAUCAUGUCUAUGAUUUCUAGAAUAGUAGAAUAAUUUUCCUACUUACCCUACUUCUAAUUUUUUUAAAAAAAAGUUAUUUGUUUUACAAAUAUUUUAUUUUAAAAAAACUUAAUAUUAAACAAUCAAAUAAAUUACCAUAUUCUUAUAAUUAUAUAUAUAUAUAUACAAAUAUAUUUUUUAAAAUAUUAUGUGAACAAAACCUGUACGUAUGUACGGGUACAAGUCUAAUGGUGUUAUGAAACGCAAAGGAUACAUGCAAGCUCAUUUCUAUAUAAGCUACAUCUCUUAAUUUCUGAAACGCAAAAGGAAAAAAAAAAACGCAAAAAGUUGGGUCUAAACGGUGGACGUGUAGGCUCAUUUAUUUUCGUUUGGCCCAAUAGGCUGAUCGAAUCGAUACAUAACAGUUUCAAAAUUGAUCAAAAAGCAUCGGAAGGGUUUUGAUUUCUGAAUCAGCGAAGAGAGAAGCUACGAUCGCUGCUGUGUUCUCGUUGUUGAAGCUUACGAGAGAGACAAAGAUUCCUUCGUAAUUGUUUCCAACUUCGUUUCAAUUUCUCAACUGGUAAGCUCUCUAAUCUCUUCGUUUACUUUCGUGUUCUUGGGGGUUUGUGUUUCGUCCUUCCGAUUAAUCAUCUGGUUCUGUAGAAUCUCCGAUCAUCUGCUAAAUUAGGGUUCCUGCGAUUCUUGGUUUUCGGAAGAUUAAAGAAUUUUUAUAUGUGGUGAAAUUUCGAUAGGGGUUUUUGUUUCACAAGUGAUUAUUAUGAUUCGAAAUCUCUCGCUGUUCUUUGUUACGAUGAAUCUUCAAGUGAGAUUGCUAUCUCAAUGUGUGUAUAAUAUAAUAUGAUUUUGUCUCGUUGAUUUUGUGAUGCAGAAGAGCCAUGAUUGGGUUAUUCAAAGUUAAGGAAAAGCAAAGAGAAGAAGCUAAAAACACCAACAGUAGAGGAGCUUCUGUCAAGAAACAAUCUGCUGGCGAACUUCGUCUUCACAAAGGUUCUCACUUUCUUCUGCUUUUGACCUAAUUCAGUUUCUGAUGUUGAACAAAUUGUAAAAUUUCUGUAUAGAUUUUUGGGCUCUUCAAGUGAUAGAACUAAGUAUUGUUUCUCCAUAUAUAUCUUUUGUUGUGUAUAGAUAUAACAGAGCUGAAUCUGCCAGAGUCUUGUACAAUAUCUUUUCCGAAUGGGAAGAAUGACUUGAUGAACUUUGAAGUUACCAUUAAACCCGACGAAGGUUAUUACAAGUAAGCAUAUCAAAUCUUCAUCUGCCCUUUUGUCUCUCGGGUUUACUGAAUCUGCUUGAACACACACAAACUCAUUCGUUCUUCUUUUACCAAAAACAGAAAUGGUAAAUUUGUAUUCACAUUCCAAGUCUCUUCGGUGUAUCCACAUGAAGCUCCAAAAGUUAAAUGCAUUACCAAGGUUAGGCUCUCUCUUCAAUCUCUGAAGUGUGUCGAUCUUUCUAGAAAUAUGAUAUAUUUGUUAUCCUUUGUAGGUCUACCAUCCGAAUAUCGAUUUAGAAGGUAAUGUUUGUCUGAACAUCUUGCGUGAAGACUGGAAACCGGUUCUCAACAUAAACACAGUUAUCUACGGUCUUUUCCAUCUCUUCACGGUAACAAAUAUCCCUUUGCAGAUACUCUUUCUACUGAUUCAACUUUCUUGGGGACUAAGUGUUUUUGGCUUCAUACAGGAACCCAAUUACGAGGAUCCUCUGAACCACGACGCAGCAGCGGUUUUAAAGACUAACCCGAAGCAGUUUGAGACCAAUGUUAGGAGAGCUAUGGGCGGUGGUUAUGUUGGCAACACCUCAUUCCCUCGUUGCAUCUAGGCAGGAGUGUCUGGUUCGGUUUCAAAGCACUCAUCUUUCUUUUCUUCGUCUCAAGAAACUUUGUGUCGUUGGCUCUUUUGUACAUUUGUCUUUGACCAAGUGAUUUUAGGUAUCUUCUUUAACUGUUUUCAAUUUUUAUUUCGAACAAAAUGUAGUAAGCAUCAAAACACAAGCCAAUCCAAAAAAACAAUAGUAGUAACAAAGCUUUAAUGACUCUCAUUGCGCAUCUCUACUUCUUCUCUAGAAGUUGGAGUUUUAUUGGUUUUCCUAUCAUUCCGGAAAAUAAAAUGUAACGGUGUGUAACAAAGACCACACAAUUCCAAACGGGACGGCCAUCAUCAACAUGAUCCCCUUGGACAACGCCUUGGCCUCACGACCAGAGUCUUUAAUAUUAUCAAUUCCUUUUGUGCCAAACCCGAAAACUUUCUCCGACAUGAUCCCAACCAAAGGAGCACCGAACGACGAAAAAGACACUUCGAGUGCACGGUCAAAGGCGUAGACCAUGGUUCGAUGUGUAGGAGGAACAAUCUCAGCUAAGAUUGGAGAGUUAAUGGCUGGUCCACACCAAGUUAUGGUGAGACCCAUUAGGAAAAGAGUUAGCAAGUAGAUGUAGUAACUGUUAGUAGACUGUGGGAUUAUUUGUAGAAGAAUAAUGGAGAAUAUAGCUCCCAUGAAAACGCUGAAUUGUGCGCAAAUCAAUAUGCCUGAGUUUGGAAAGAGAUGUGACAUUUUGUCUGCAAUUAUUCCUCCGAUUAAAGAUCCUAUUGAUUGUCCCGUGGUGAAUAUUCCGUUCAGAAGCGCCGCCUGAUUAUGACUAAAACCUGAAAAUUAAAAUAAAAUAAAAAACAACUUUGAAAAUAGUUUUUUGGUUGUUUGAUUAGGAUAAUACCAUUUCUAUGUUUCAUAAUGGUCUAGAAACGGGAUGAACAUUUAGUUUUAGUGCAAAUCUAUUUUUAGUUCAGUUCAAUUUGUGGUUUAAUUUUUGAAAAAAUAAUUCAGAAGUAAAAUAAUUUUACCUCUUCAUCUUUCGACUUUAGUAGUAGUAUAAAGAUUUGGUUUUGCUAGACCUUAAAGAAUCUUAUAUAUAAAAGAUGACCAACUCUCUCCAUAUGAAUGACACAUCAUCAUUUUCAAUUGAUAUGGAGAUGACAUGUGUCACUUUUUAUAAUUUAAAGUUAUAUUUUUUCUAAAAAGUAAUAAAUUACUAAUUUUUAAUAUCAAGUUUUAAACCACUCAAAAAAAUGAACAGUUUUUUUCAUUAAUUGAUUGAUAUUGAUUGGUAUUUAUUUUAUUUUAUAUAAUUCUCAUUUUUUAAUGAUAUUGUAUUUAAAAUUGUUUUUUUGGAUAAAAUUUUUAAAAUUAUUAUAAUAACAUAUUAACACACAUAACAAAUAAUGAUUAUAUGAUAUUGUAUUUUAAAUUGAACUAAGAUUAUUUUCUUUUUUGGAUAAAAUUUCAUAACAAAUAAUAAUAAAAAUUGUUUUUAUAUUUAUAAUUAUAUUUGCUUUUGAAUUUAUGAUAUUGCAUUUUAAAUUAAUUUCUAAAAUUAUUUUUUUAUCUAAAAUUUUUAAAAUUUUUUAUAGUAAUAUAUUAACACACAACAAAUAAUGAUUAUAUUUGAUUUUAUAUAAGAUUUGAAUAGUUAAAAAGAAAAACUUGCACAUUAUGUGCGGGUAUUCACCUAGUUAUAACGAAUAAGGACUUAAUAAACCAUAUAAUUCAGGUAGAACGUAUGUUUUCUUUUUGUUGAUAAUGUAUGUUUUGGUUUUAGGUGCAAACUAUAAUUAAGAAUGGAUGCACAAGGAUGCAGCAGAACUGAAGUAGUUUAUCAAGUUGUUAAUUUCGGCUUUUAGAAUGAAAAAGGAUUAAUCAAGUUGUAAAAACGUUUAUUUUUUCUUUGAAUAUAAUUUAACAAUAUUUUAUUAAAAAAAAAAAGAAUGGAUGCCUACCAAUGAGUUCGAACCACAUUGUCCAGAAAACCAUUGCAUUCCAUGGCACCGAACCUAUAAUUCCCUGCAAUAUGAUGAUUUGAAAUGUUCGUAAUUUGGCUACAUCAUUUAUGGCCACCCACGAUUCCAUCCAAUUCGAGCUUCAACUCUCCAUUGUUGCAUUGUUUUCAUCUCUACAAAAGCCGCAUGACUAACUCAAAAACUUAGGACAAUUGAAAAUAAUAAGAAGCUAUAAUCAAGAAUGUAGAGAUUUAUAUCACCGUUCAUGGUCAAGAACAUUGGAGCUACUAGUUUUCUUCUUCUCUCUCGGGUCAGUGACAAAGAAAAAAACAAGAAACCCGAUCAUCGUACUUACCGUUGCACUCAGUAGAUAGGCGCAGCGCCAGCCCGAGACUCCGUCAAAAACAUGACCAGCCAUGACCGUAGGCACGACGGUUCCACCUAUACCUCCAACCGUACCAAUGAGAUUCCAUAAACCAAAACCAAAACCUCUUGCACUAUCCUUAAAGCUAUCCGCGAUUAUCGACUGAAGCACCGGAUAAACAAUUGCAUGUCCAAACCCAUUGGCUGCUGCGCCAAAGGUUACCUAGUCCAAGAUAAUAAUAUGAACCAAAAAUCAAAUUUAAAAUCUUUUCUUUUUAAAGAGGGGAAACAUAUGUUUUUGGUCCCACGACUCCUAAUAUUGGACCUGUAAGUAACCAAAACGGUCGUUUGGAAGUUCCACAAUAUACUCAAAAAUUAGUAUCACAGUCACGAAAAAUAGUUUAAUGAUCUUGACACAAAUUAUUCGUUUAUUAGAGGGUUUUUUUCCUUAAAAUGUUAAUUUUUUUUUCUAUUUUCAUUAUAUGUUCUCUAGUCAAUGAUUUAUUUUAGUUAAAAAUCUUUUUUUGUCGUAAGUCUUAACGGUAUUGAUCUUAAGUUUUAAAAUCUAGACAGGCCGGUGUCUAGAUUUUUUCAUUUAUAGUCAAGAAUAUUUUUUGGUGCAUGCUCCCAAUUUAAUAUAAACUUUGGUGCAAAAGCUUAGACUAUAAUAGGAAGAGAAGAAAGAAAAAAAGAAGCUUAAACCUGGAUGAAGUAGCGGCUGACUCCAGUUGCAAUAGUUGAUAUGACCCAAAAGAAGCUACCGACCGCAAAAACCGUGGGGCGGUCAUAGCUGAUGGCCAAUAAACCGGCUAAAGGCGAGGCAGCUCCUUGAACAAUAUUUCUUAUAAACGAGAGGAGUCCAAUACUAGAGAGGUUCGCAUCGAAUGCUUCUUUCAAUUCUUUGGCAGUUGAAGGAAUGAGUUUUUCGUCUGCUCGUUGCAUCAUUGUGGCCAAGUUAAUGAUAAUGAGCGAAAUAGAGAUUCCAUAAAUGGUCCCUGUUCUAUGGACAUAGUAGUACACAUUGUAAGAAAUCUACCAAGAAAUGUGGAAUGUAUAGUGACUAGAGUCUAAUAAUUUGUCAAAAAAACCAUCAAUAGAAAGGAAAAAAAUAGUAAUGUAUAAAUAGUGGGCUUAACACUAUGAAAUUGAGUAAAAAUAUACUCUUAAUGGAAGAAGAAAAAGAUGACGAGAUAAAAGGAUAUUAUGAAGAAAAAGUGAAAAAUGCUUACUUCAUUUUCAUGGUUUUGGUAUGAAGACGAUUGGGUUGGGGGCAUAGAAACGAAUACAAUUUUCACUCGAAUGGAGGUGAUUUUUAAGAGAAAAAUGUUUUCCAACUAACUGCUAUAAUAAAAACAAUAAGGGGGGUUAAUGAUAUUUAUAUUUGAAAUGUUAUGACAAUGAAUAAGAAUGGUCCACUUAACGAAGAAAACAUUGGAAACAAAACAAAUAGCGAUUCUGAUUUUUGUUUUGUUUUGUUUACUACUCCUACUUAAUACUUAGAUUCUGAAUAGCGAUCAAAAAUAGGCAAAAUACAAACAUUGUAGGAAGAAGAUCUAGUCAGAUUUAAUUUUUCAUUAAACGCUUUGUUUUUUUUCUCUGGAAAUUAAAAUCAUCUUUAAAGUUUUCUUUCUCUUAUAUAAUAAAAGAAAAAAUUAUGUGAAUGAAAAUAUUAUGUGUUCACAUAACCUUUUUAUUCUGUAGUCUACAUGAGUGUUAAUGGGGCUAGUCCGACUUAGCCCGUUCUAAAUUCUGUAAACCAUUAUCGCAAGCUUUUUUGGAGCUUAUAUUAAAUUGUUGGUUGGGUCGGGACAAAACUAUAAGAUUAGUCUGAGUAUUUCGGAUCCUUCUCAGUGAUAAAUAUGUUCUUUUUUUUUAACAAAAAAAAUCAAUUAAAAAAUAUAACUCACAACAUAUAAAACAUUAGAAAGAGAGUGACCAUGAAGAUGUAACAAUUCUCAUGUCAUUUCUAUUUCUCAUGAACCAAGAUUUCUAGCGAUUUAUCGAUCUUUCAGAAAAAGAAAAUGUAACGGUGUGUAACAAAGACAACACGUACAAUCCAAAAAGGAUAGCCAUCAUCGACAAGAUACCCUUCGACAACGCCUCGGCCGCACGACCAGACUCUUUAAUAAGAUCAGUUCCAUUUGAGUCAAACCCAAACAUUUCUCCGACAUCAUCCCAACCAAAGGAGCACCAAAUGAUGACAAAGACCCUUCAAGGGCACGAUCAAAGGCAUAGAUCAUGGUUCAUAAAAAAAAAUUGGUCAGAUUUUUUAAAAAUUUGAUCGUGCACUUGAAGGGUAAUAUAUUAGAAAUAUAUUAUUUUAAUUAAACCACAUUGCAUUCAUUCAACUCAUACAAACAACAAUAAUGACAUGUAACAUUUGUGGCAUUAUUUAACGUAUAUAUGACAUCUUUCUUUUGAACAAAAUAAAAUAAAAUAUUAAUAGAAUGUAAUCUUUAUUUUUUUUUUCGACGAAAUAACAUUAUUUAAUUUGGCAAAGAUGAAGAUACAUAGUCCUUAUGAAGGUAAGGUGUUAACCAAAUAGGAGGAUUUAUACAACCAGAAAAGAAAGAAGGUGUUAAUAGAAUGUAAUCUUUAUUAUACUCUUUAUUAGUAUACUAAAUAAUCUUUCUCUCCAUAAAAUAACUGAAAUAAUAGAGGUGAAAUUGAGAUUUAGAGUUAAAUUUUGCUUUGGAAAUACACUCAUAAUUACCAAUUUGUAACGAUCGAUUAAACCUUAAAAAAAUGACGUCAAUCUAACAUUGAAAAAUAUUGUACAUUGUACAUAUAUAGGUUGGACAUGGAUUAACUAUAUUAUUUGCCCAUCACGACAUAAGACGACAUUGUUUUGCCCAUUCGAAGAGAGAACUAUGAGACGACCCACCUUGAGCCCAAGCUUGUUCAGAGCUAACCCUCACUUCCUCAGCUUUAGCCCUUAUCUUCCGUCCUUCUUCAUCCUCUUCCGCCACAAUCUUUCUAACCAAAGACGCCACUUCUUCCCGGCCAAUCACUUUCUUCGCCGGUAACACCGACGUACGAACAGCCACACCGAUCUCCUCCGUUAGCAACGUGGCAUUCAUCCAUUGCUCAGCAUAAAGAGGCCAAGCCACGAUCGGAACUCCUUUAGUCAAACUCUCCAACACUGAGCUCCAACCACAGUGAGACAAGAACCCACCUAUCGAUCCAUGGCUCAAGAUCUCAACUUGCGGUGCCCAUUGCGUGACGACAAGACCCAUACCACGCGUGCGGUCCAAGAAACCUUCCGGUAGACUGGCACUCACCUGAUCAUCAUCGUCUCUCGAGCUCGCACCGAGGUAAGAAAUGGGCCUGCGUAGAACCCAUAAGAACCUCUGACCACUUAACUCUAAACCCCAAGCGAGCUCAAUCGUUUGCUCUAACGACAACGUUCCACCACUCCCUAAACACACGUACACCACUGACCUGUCACGUUGCUUGUCUAACCACUCGAAUAUACUAUUGGGCCUUUUGAUAGGCCCAUUAUUCCUAACAAUAGGCCCAAUAGCAUAAACCGGUAUUUUCAUUACCCGGCUCAAUUCUCCAUCCUCCCUGAGCGCAUCAAGAGUGUUUCCUUGCAACUCCUCCCAAGUAUUCACCAAAACUCCAUCGCUCAUAGGUACCUCCUCGCCAAUCCGUACACACUCCCGGUACUGCUGGUUCGACCGGUCUAACACUGUUUCCAUAAGAUCAUCCGGUCCGACCGAUCUACAACCCGGUAUUCUCAUAGGCUCUUUGAUAUCAACGUAUUCCCCUUCGAUAACCUUGUCCAAUACCGGCAAGUACACCAUCUCUGCCAAGAACCACGCGUGUGAAGGGACGUACACGUACUUAGCCGUCACGCCGACGUCAUCAGCAACGGGCAUCAACCCGGUACCUAAAAAGUCAACGAUCAUGACCGUCGGUUUUCGCUUCAUUGAUUUCACGGCUUCUCGAAACGUGGGCUUCAUGGCUUGCAUCUUCACUACGAUCUUAGUGAACACUGUCGCAUCUGAAUCCACGAGAUUGUCUACAUCAACCGAGGGUAAUUCCGUAACUUCACAGGUACCUCUAGCCACGGCUGCUUGUAUGGCCUCGGUUUCUGUUGGAGAGGAGGAACCGGAGGUGACGGCGAGAAUGGUGACGUGAACAUUGAGGACGGAGGAGAGACGGUUUCCGAGUUCGAGGAUAGGGAUGAGGUGGCCUAAGCCAGGGCUAGCGACUAGGAGCGCGUGAGGCUGGUCCAUGAUCUAUAUAUAAGGUUUUGUUAAGAAUGAUUAUGAAUCGAGAGAAUGUUAUCAUAAAAAGAUUUUUAUUUAUGUGACAUCUUCGAACACAUACCUGUUCUUGUAUAAGAAGAUGUUUCUUGCUUGUCAAUGGCAAUGCAUGAAAUAAGACUGGAUAUAAUUAUUAUUGCUUUUAUAAUGGAUGAGUAUUUACCAUAAUUAAGUUCAUAUUUAUUCAUGUGGCAAUUGCUAUGCGUGGAUUGUAGUCGAUCUGGGUCAUUGACAAGUAACAUACUGACAUGCAUGUUAAUUAUUACGCAUAAGACCAAACGUUAUGCUACCACUAACAAGCAUGCCUACUUUCUUACCUAACUGUUUUUUUUUUUUUUGUGAAAGGUACUGAAGCCUAACUUUGUCUACCAAAAGAAAAAAGGACAAUCUACGUGUCCCGAUGUUUUCCAAAAUUGUCCAAAGCAAGAAGAAGAAAUGACAAAAAAAAGUCAUUUUUUAGUGGGUUUUUAACAGAAAUUUAAUAUUAAACAAUUGAGGCUGCGUUUCUAGUUUGGCAGAAACUUCUCCUAUUUGGGAACUUUUGAAGACGUUUCUUCAAACACUGUUUCUUCAAACACGUGAAGAGAUAUUAUUGGUUAAACUAUUUGAGAAAACAUUUUUUUUUUCUAAAAGUUUCCCGAUAGUUUUCAUUUCUUCCACCUGCUCUCUUCUUCGACGAAAUCGAGGAGAACACGAUCUGUUUCCGGCAGCUUCUCCGACGGUCGGCAGUUCUCAGACGGUGGCUCAGUGGUCCGAAAUCGACGAUGUUUUCAGAUAAAUUUUAUGAACCCUAAUCUCUGGAUUUUCAUCUGAAAAUGGCGAUCCUCGUUAAACCAAAACAGAAAUAGUGAUUGGUUUCUCGUUUGCGGAUUACUGUUAAGUAGAGAAUCCAUCAUUCCGUUGUCGUUCUGAUUACACCAAAUCAAAAUCUCAUGAAUCAAAUGCGAAUUAGGGAUUAGAAAGCUUCUGAUUGAGGGAUGGUUUGAAUUGGAAGCUUCGACAUGUUAUUGGAUCAAGUUUUUUUGCGUUUUCCUCUGUUUUCUUAGACUCCCGUGUGUUUCCAGAAGAUUUGGAUAGAUAAUUCGACGAUCAUUGUACAUUGUUUGAGAUCCUUUUGCUUAAUUACAUGUCAAUCGUGUAGAAACUCAGGUUUAGCUACAUAAAAUGCAUUGCAGGAUAAUCAGAUUGAUUUGCUGGUUUUUUUUUAUAGAAUGGAAGGUGACUCGAGGUAUCGUCAUUUUCAGAUGGUGACAACGACAACAUUGAGCGCCGUAGUGCAGGAGAGGUAGAAUCUGAGCUCGUAAAAAGGAAAGCUAGCAGUGAAAUCUGAGCGUCGUAGUGCAUGGAGGUGCUUGUAACACCCAGCAAGAGAGAUAACUUAAAGGGAAAAUCAAGAACAGCAACAGUGAACGAGAAACAGGGGAUCAACGUAGCGAAUGGAGUGGGAGAUAAAGACUUGGGUCAUAUCGUGAAGACCAUUAUACGUUUAGAGCUAGGAGGUCACAUAGACAAGAGUUUUAGGGAAAGGUUCUUGACAUGGUAUAGCUUAAGAGCUAUUCACCGAGAAGUUAGAAUCGUGAAGCUCUUUGUGGACACAUUCAUGGAGGAUCUGUCUUCUUUGGGACAACAGCUUGUGGACACAGGAACAGAGUCUGGGUAAAAAUUGCAGUACAUAUUACUACAUGCGAAAUGCAGCUUGAACCCUCAUCCUUUUUGGCUCGUGUUUAAGACGGCAUGAGAAGGACCUGUAAGAGAGGAGAAAUUGAUGAGGCAAAUUGAUUAAUACGAAAACAAAACUGGAUGCAAAGAGUCACGAGAAGACGUUGAUGAUUCACCUUCAUUGCAGCGUAGACAUGGAGCAACAAAAUGCUGAGCCUGAGAAGUUGUUAAAUUCCAUUAUCUACAAAAGACGUUGAUGCUUUACCUUCAUUGCAGCUUUAAAAGCUAAUUCAGACAUACUAGUACAACCUACACAAAACAGCUUGAUGGUAAAAAUUUGGAUUAAAACAUAAAUUUUUUUUUUUUUUGAAACCCCAAAGGGUCUCUGCAUUAGACCUUAAAAAUUCUACCUCUUCUUAACUAAGUUUCUAAUCCAAUAAUAAUAUUUAAAAAAUCAAUAAGAGACUCAUAUGCGUCUUUGCAUUGCUCUUACUCGCGCCGUAUACUUCC